rnacentral:lncRNA from 1 species
GAGGGGAAGCUCAUCGUGAAGUGCGACGGGCGGGGUGUGCCGUUCGUGGAGGCGGCAGCGGAGUGCGGCAUGGAGGUGGUGGGGGACAUCUCCAUCCCUGAUCCUGAGAAGCUUGGGAAGCUCGUCUAUGUUGACUCUCGAGCCAAGAACAUUUUGCAGACUCCUCUCCUCACUGUGCAGGUGACGUAAAUGCCUGUCUAUAUAUGACAGCAAUCUUCUUACCAGUACCAGAUGAAGUUGAUUAAUGAUAUGGAUCACGUUUAUAUGGCCAUCCAGGUGACGAGAUUCGAGUGCGGUGGGUUCGUCGUGGGACUGGCCAUGAACCACUGCAUGGCAGACGGGAUAUCAAGCGUCGAGUUCCUCCAGUCGUGGGCGGAGACGGCCCGCAACCGUCGCCUUUCCCGGGCCCCGUUCCUGGACCGUACUAUACAACGAGCUCGUCACCCCCCAAAGAUCGAGUUCCCCCACCACGAGUUCGCCGAGCUCGAGGACGAAUCGAACCUAACGCAACUCUUCGAGUCCGAGCCAAACCGGUACCGGGCCUUCACCUUCGGCUCUGACGAGCUGGACCGGCUCAAGCUCAUGGCCACCGUUGACGGAUCCUGUACCUGCUUCGUGGCCCUCUCCGCCUUCAUCUGGAGAUCCUGGACACGGGCCCUUAACAUGGACCCUCAUCAGAACACCAAGCUUCUGUUCGCGGUCGACGUCCGGCGUCGGUUCCAGCCGCCGCUCCCGGUGGGGUUCUUCGGGAACGGGGUCGUGUUCGGCUGCUGCUUGUGCGAGGCCGGCGAGCUGCAGGAUAACCCCGUCUCUUUCGCCGCCCGGUUGAUCCAGGCCGCGGUGCGGAACACGACCGACCGGUUCAUUCGGUCCGCGAUCGAUUACUUCGAGUCGAACCGGGCUAGACCGUCCCUGACCGCGACGCUGGUGAUCACGACGUGGACCAAACUCAAGUUCAUGAGCUCGGACUUCGGGUGGGGCGAGGCGGUUCAGUCCGGCCCGGCGGAGCUGCCGCACAAGGUGGUGGUGUUUCUUCCUCAGGUCAAUGGAAUGAAGAGUGUAACGGUGGUCGUGGGAUUGCCAGCUUCAUCUAUGAAGGCCUUCCAAGAAAUGUUGGGGCUGUAGUUCGAGUCGAGCACCAAAGAAAGAUAGGAGCAUGUCAAAGAAGACCACGCAAUCUGGAAGCUUAUGACCGAGUCUGGUGUUUUAGAACAACUGCAGAUAGUAAAUAAAAGAAGAGAAUGAAGGGAACCUUAUCUCAGUGCACCUGUGAUUGUGAAACUUGCAAUGCCGAAGCUGGUGGAAAUGUUUGUAAAGCCAAAAUGUAAAGAAUUUAGGUGGUUGAUGGUGUACCAAACCCUAUGUGCACAACUUACUCUUGUGCGUCUCUAUUUCAAGUGAUCAAGCUGUAAGUUACUAUGGGUUCAUAGAUCUAAUGUUUAUGUGGCAUAAUUGAUGAGGCUUUAAAGCUCCGAAUCCCCUGUAACCGAGAGCUCUGUAUCAGCAUCCUCGGUAUAAUGCUGUAACAUGAUGCAUCAGGAUAAGUCUUCAACUCUCUGCUCAACGAAAAGACUGAACCCAAAAUGUCCACGGAGAAGUUGAGCGGCGACGGCCGGAAGACGAGCGCGACGGAGUCGGUCACAUGGUGGAGCGGCUCUGGAAGCGCCGUCCAUUGGGCGGUGGUGGGGUUGCAGAUACAGUUGUAAGAGAAGACGGGGAAGAGGCCGCGGCAGGCGACGAGGCCAUUGGAAGAGAAGACUUCGGUGACGUUUUCGGGAAGGAAUGUGAACGUGCGCAUGGGAGUCAACUUUCAGGUGAGUUUGCAUUAAGAUUACUGAGCCAUAACAGAUUAUAGAACCAACUUCAAGCAUCCACCAAAGCUAAACUUCAGAAAGAAAAUUAAUUUCUAGAUGAGAGCUUGUUCACAUGUCUUGUACAUGACGCAUCGGUUUGUGUUGAAGUUGGAUAACGCCAUUAUGAUUGAGCUUUCAGUGAUGAGGAGUUCGGCAUUGGCCUGCCAUCUCCGUCCCUUUGAUUCUUCUCCUCUUCGCCAUUCUGGAAGACAUGCAAGCAAACAAGUCAACAUAAACAGGAAUGAACAUAAACAAAUUAGUGAUACAAGUCUCGGAAGAAAUCUGAUAACAAUUAUGUUUCAUCCGAAAUGAAUACCGAAUUCCUAAUAAAGCUUUAUCCGACAUUAAUUCUUUUGCAAAACCUAUUUUAUAUCAUUGGAAAUCCAAUGUGCCCCUUAAUCGCAGAAAUAUAAGAGAACAAAAGUAAGCGAUACUUACCUAUUCUGAUCAUUCAAGCAAGCUAAGUUGCAAAAGAAAUAAAGUUACAUGAUAAGAGAAAAGGAAAACCAAAUAGCCACAGAAAAGAAAUCAGUUAUUGGACUCGGUUUCAAGUGGAAGUUUACGUUGGCAUCUUGAUUGGGCUCAGGAUCCGCCAUUCGCAUCGACAUCCUUGCAAUCUCGGACGUGGCGGCGUCCCUGGACGAGGGAUCGUCGCCAGCGAGCUCCUCGUACGCCGCCUCGAAAGCCUCCUGCCAGAACCUCGGCAGCCGAGCAAUGCGGCUGUGGACGUACACGUCCCACAUAUGCCUAACCACCUUCUCCCUCUCCUCCACCUCCUACUUCACACGAGCCAAAACAGAAGAAAUAAGAGAUCACGGCGCAGAGGAACCGAAGACAAAGCCAUAUUAUAGUUUCGAGGAAUGGCGGACCAGGACGUCGAGGUCGCCAAAUACGGGAGCGUCGGAGGGGCUGUUGGCGCCGCCGAUGGACCACUUUAGGGUGACGGUGCCGGUGAGCAAGGACCAGAGAGCGAGGAGGAGGAUGGCGGCGCAGACCCACAGCUUGUACCGGCCCUUGCCUAAGAGAGGGAAGGGGGAGUGGCGCUUGGGGUUCGCGGAGAUCGAGGGCAGGGAAUCGCCUCCGUCUCUCAUGACGUCUCAGAAAUGGAGGCGGUUGGAAUGGGACAGGUCAACCCCUUUCUCUUUAAUACAGCAGAGAAGCCGCAAUGAGACGAGUAGUAGAGGGAGGAGAGGGUAUUUUCCUUUUUUUUCUUUUAUAUAUGUCUUAAUUGGUGAUUAAUAUUUAAAUGUUGAUUAUUGGAUUAUUGUACCUCCGGUGUAAUCAACUCAUCUCGAAGAAUUCCCAGCAAAUGAAGAGAAUAAUCCUACUCAUUAUAAGAAGUAUACAAACAAAAAACUUGACGUGGUAGGAUAGUAGAAUAAGGUGUCGGUAGGCCUUUGAAUUAGAUUCUUUUCACAUGUUUUCUUAAGGAGAGGCAAGCACGCAGAGACCCGAGUCAAUUAGGUGAGAUGCCACUUUCGAUAUCGCCUCUUAUUAUUCCAAGCAACUUAAACUUUAAUGAGUGGGAUCCACACGCUAAAUUCGUAGGCUAUGAUUUCACAUUGAACAGCUCUUUCAAUCGCUGGCACUGAAAAAAAGUCAAGGAUAUUGACAUCCACAAAGAAGAGAAAUUUACGUGACCGAGCAGUGUCCGCAUUGAGAAGGAGUUCGAGCCAAACUAAUAAUAGACCAAGGAUGAUUGGUUGAUAUCGUUCUCGGAUUUGAUUGAUUCGCGCAUGAUUGCCCAGGUUAGAAGUACACCGAAAGCAGGGGCUGUUGUAUAUUGGUGGGAUUAAGCUUUAAAUGACAUUAAUACAAAGAAAUAAAUGUCUGGUAGAGGUAGUGACAAUUCAAGAUGCACUAUAUGCCGGACAUUCACUACAGGAUUCGUUUCAUUGUUGCAGAUCAGCAACCAAACGGUCAUCAAAACUAAACCUUUGAUAUCAAGGCAACAGAAAAAAACAGACCAUCUGUUUGAGGUAUCAGAACCAAAGCAGAGCUAUGUCAACAACGACAUCCAGCAUCAGACUCCAGUAGACCCAAACCCUCCCACACCCCUAGCAGUGGAGUCCAAAUCAUCGACCUGGAGGACCUCCGGCGUCAUGAUCCUCUCGAUGAUCAGCUGCGCAAUCCGAUCGCCCUCCUUCACCUCGAAAUCUACAUCCGAGAAAUUGAACAGAACGACGCCCAGUGGCCCUCUGUAAUCCGCAUCGAUCACGCCUGCUCCCACGUCAAUCGAGUGCUUCCAAGCUAAUCCGGACCGAGGAGCUGUAGUGAGGAAAGUAAAUGAUGGUGGGGAACCCUCUUUGACUCAUUUCGUCGAACACCCCGUAGCAUGAACAUGACAAGAUCAAAGCAGAUAUCAGAAAUCACGAUAUGGGGUGUGGAAAUUAUACCGAUGCGAGCGUAAGUUCCAUCAGGAAUGGCAAUGCUAAGAUCGGUGGGCACCAGAGCUUUUCCUCGGGCCGGGACCUUCGUUUCCACCGCACUGAGAUCGAGAAGAUACAGCAUAGUUAGGCGGAGACAGUCGGUGCAAGUUACAGAAAACUACGCAUUCUUCACCUGGAGAGAUCAUAACCGGCUGAUAGAGGGGAAGCUCUUGAAGGCAAGACGGCCUUGUCGGAGAGCUUCUUGACCUUAAGAAGCGGGAGAUCGUGGGUCGGAAGUAGGCCUUCUCCCUGUCGAGGGGUGCCAUUCUGAUCCACCUUCUGAAGCUCGGGAGACGGCUCUUGGAUGCCGGCGUUGCCGCUUCCCAUAUCCGCCACCACGUCGAUUUCGGAGAGACGACGAGAGAAUAGAGAUUGGCUUCAGGAGGUGCGUUUGGUUAUGAAGCGUAGAAAGCGGUUCUUAAGGACACCAGGACGCGGGAAUCAAUUGGCGCCAAGUUCUCCCGCCAUCCUCUUCUUUUGCGGAGAAAUAUAAAAAGAUGCUACAAAAUAAGUUUUCCAUAGGUGAGAUUGAAAAUUAAAUUGAUUGGACGCCUCCAAUAAAAACAAUUUGAUGGUCAAACAACAAAGUUCGAGUCCAUAUUCUGAUUCGAAUUCGUGUAAAUGUAUAUAUGACCAAGUGUUAGUUAAAAAGACAACCAAACAGCCCUUAAAUCUCCCAUGGAGUUUAGGAGAGAAACAGGCCGGUUUCCAGAAAAAAAAUUAAAAGGGAAAUAAGCGUGAUGAGAUAACUGCGUCGAUAUGCUCAAAUGUCGCAAUCAGAUCUUCGGAUUGAUUGUGCAGAUCGAUAGGUUAACGAGUGGUCAAUCCUCAUUUGUAAUUCCUAUUAUUUAUCUUUUUCAAAAAAGAAAAAUAUAUUAACGACUAGCGAUUUUGAUACCAAUAUAGUUAUAUAAAAUUCAAAGAUAUCCGUAUUCAAAUCGAUCACCCCCAAGCGAGCGUACAGAAAGGACGUGACAGCGGUUUUCGAAUUGUUAUCCGCCGACUCGAUAUCGUUACGGAACGUGAAAUUGAUUUCCGUAUCCGAUUUGGCAUGGGGUCAUGAGCAGCAAACAGGAGCCCAGCACCCCGGAUCCCACCAAUCUAGCUCGUUGAUUCGUCUAUUUCCCUAUGUGGAAUUCCGACCGCGAAGCGAAUCCUUUGUAAUGAAAACGUAAGCAAUGACUUCACCCAACGUUGCGGUCAGGCAAGGAAAAUCGGUGCGCGCCCAACUGACUUUACCGACACGUGGUAGCAUCAGGUCCAUCAAAAAGUUACUGAUUCCAUCUGGCCGUCCAUUUUUUGUUUCUUCGUCAAUAAACUCCACGUUCUUCGCCUUUCAUCGAGAUAUAUAGGCUUUGUCGUCCCGUUCGUCUCGUGGAUUACCUUUUCCGCAGCCAUCGUUCGGCUCUCGAUCGGGAGUGUCUGGCAACAAAGGACGCUGAUCUUUGGCGUGUAGGUGAUGCCUCUCUAGUUUUGAUCGUGUUCACCUUCAUUGCUUUUUUAAUAUUAUACGCUAUUCUUCUGAUUUUUGGCUCAUAGCGUCUUCGCCGAUGUUUCAACCUGUAAAUUGUUAAUCUUUUACUCAUAAUAUUCGUAGAUCGGUAAGCUAAUUUGUUGAUUGGUUGUUUGAAUCCUAAGCAAUUAUUGAUGAAUCUGUUGCUGCAAAUGUAGGUUUUGGCGAUGGAAGAAGUAUUACGGUGACUUAGAAUUCUUUUUUACAGAUCACGGUGAUUUUUGGUCGGCGUUGUGGCUGCUUGGACUUGAUCGAUGCAUUCUCGCCCGCGGACAAUCUGGAUCUGAAUAUGAGUAGGUCGUCGAUGAAUGGAUCUCAUGUGCUCUCCUGUUAAUAUAAGGUUCUUUCUGAUGUAGUGGAUGUGUAAAGCCAGAGAUCUCCUCCGAGGGUAAGGUAAAAUAGGGAUGUUGUCUGGUGAUUAAUCUUAUUAGGCUGUCAUCUCGGCCUUUGCCAUAUUGGGUGCGCUCGCAUGGCAGGUCAAAGAACCGUAAUAAAGUAUGCCAAUUUUCGUGUGUUUGGUGGGAACGCAUGGGGUGUUUUCGUACCCCAGGUUCUCACCCUCGUGUGCCUUGUCUCGUUAUUGUGAUCCUUCUAUGUCGCUAGUAAACUCGCUCUUGGAUUCUUUGAACUAGUACUUUAAGGGUACCUUGCAUGACCAAAAUACCAGAGGGUCAUAGUGCAAUCAUCACAUUCUAAUUCGUUUACUUGUCAUCUUAUUUGGUAUUACCUCCACUAGCGCACCCAUUAUCGAAAUUGAAAGUUAUGACAUACGUCUCCUAUUAUUUUUACUAACUAAAAUUUGAUCGUCAUUAUGAAUAAUCUCACUCUAUUCAGUCCACGCUUAUAUGCAUAAUCCAUCUUUACCUUUGAUUUAAUGUUGAUAUAUGCUACAUAGUUCCAUUAGUUUUGAAUGUUAAGAUGUAUCGUUUUUUCCUUUCUGAACUUAUUUAUCAAGUUUGAUAGUUUUUGAGGUCAGUUGGUAUGUGAUAAAUUACCCGCUGCUGAUUGUGGAGACAUUGAGCUUAUUCCUUGUCCUUCUAGUGGACUCUUCAAUCUUUUGGAUUUGGAGGACAACUGGGGACAGAAUAAGCUCUUUCUUUGGUUUUGAUAAUAUUUUUACAUAAUACAAUGAAGUUGCUGUCAUUGAAGUUUCUACAUUUUUGCCUUGUCAAAACUAUAUCUUCUCAAUGUGCGUCAUGUGAUUGAAAUUGAUUUAUUAGCUUCUGUUACUUCAUUAUUAUAAUAUCUCAGUUUCGCCAGAUUGUUUGUUAUGUUCAUACCUGCAAUAAAAGGCCCGAUGGUGUGUAUGUUCAAUUUGCUGUUACAGACUUCAUACCUGAUUGUAGGCAAAUAAGAAUUUUAUGUUUAAUUGUUAUUGCUGUAGCAUGAUUUAUUAAGAAUGUUAUACCGUUAUGCUUACUCAGGUGAAUGGAAUAGUCAAAAUUUUUUCCUGUUGUAAUGCAGUGAUCAUCGCUAGCAGAGUACACACUUCUUGAUAUAAGGAACAUCUUAAAUAUUGUGAUAGGUAUUUCCAUAAAUAUUAGAGUUCAUUGAUUAUAUAUUGUUACAGGGAACUAACGUCAUGUCUGUUGUUUUUGUUACAUUAAUUUUACCUUGCAUCUUUAAUUUUAUUAUUUACAUUGGAUUGGAAGUUUUUCUAAAAAUAGUACUGUUCUGCAAUAUGAUCUGUUUAUGGUUUCAUAUGCAUACUGGAUUUUCCUUUUCUUAUGGUGGUUCCAGUUUAUACUUUUAAUCAAUAUUUUCAUAUCCUUGUCACUCUUGCCAACCAAGAUUCCACACAUUUAUUUGGGAUUAUAUGGUUUAUGAUUUACUGUGGAUUGAUAUGUAAUUUUGACAGAUCUUUAAUAACGAUUGGUAGUUUAAUAUAUUUCUAUUGUAGUUUAAUAUUUUUUUGAGCAGUUCAUUUAUUAGUAUUAUUGUUAUUAAUUUUGACAUUUCCACUUAUGGUUGUUGGAUGCUUGAAUGUUAUCAUUUCUGCACUGUUUAUUUGUUGCGCAAACAAUUUCUCAGAUUAAAUUUUGGCAAGCUUAAUUUUAGUUGCCUUGAUCUAUUAAGUGGCAAUUGUAAUGUUGCAUAGUGGAAUCUGGUAAUUUGAAAUAAUCGUAUCAUAUAUUUGAGUAAAUAUGAUAAAUUGAAUUAUCUUGUUGUUGCUUAAUUAAUAAUCUAGUUUUAAAUAUUGAUAUUUUGUUGUCAAUAAGGUAUGUAAUUCAAAGUAUUGAUUUAUUGAAUUUUUUUAGGCUGUAACUUUAUCUGGAACCCAAUUACUGCUUCUCCUUUGAAUAACCGCUGUAUAACAUAAAUUUAAUGUUGUUUCUCGAUAAUGGGAUUUCUCUUUGUAACAUUUGGCCUUUACUAGUUAGAAUCCAUUCAGUCGUUAAAGAAGUAAUGUAGUGUUAAAAGAAGUACUGUAUUUAAGGAAAAUCAUUAAAAUUUGUUUCUUGAGAUGCUUGUGGAUCUUCAAGCUCAGACUGGUCGAGCGCUCGGUCGAAUUCGAUCGAGAGGUUGAUGGUUCGAGUCCAUCAAGAUCCUUUUUUAUUUUUUGUGGAGAGUUUACUGUGUGUACAGGCUUCUUUAUUAUCUUCUACACUGUUGACUGUACCGUGUUUUAUUGUUCUUAGUAUAAACCAUGUUCAGUGUUAUCUAUUACUGUUUUGUGCCUGAUCAUUUAACAUUAUUAUGUGCCAUUAUUUUCUUUCAGAAUAUUAAUAAUUUAUAUUAUUUUAUCUUGUUUUCUGCUGAAAAUAAUCUGUCAGAAUAAAUAAUAGUUUAUGCAAUAAUUAUCUUUUUUAUCUUUUGAUGUGUAGUGUCAUCAGGUAAUGAUGUUUUGGAAAGGCAAAAGAGUUGGUAAUUUAGCGUUUAAACGGGAAGCAAGCGUCCACAGUGCUUUUAUAAUCUUCAAACCUCUUUUUGGGUCUCUGUUGUUUCUUUCUCGGUGAAUGAGCAAAGAUAGCUUUGUAAUAUAUCCAUUGGCGUCUAUGAAUGAAAUCGUCCAUGUUGGCACGUCGGAUGAGAUUAUUCCCAACAUUUUUUUCUCUUCUAUGAUUCUUUGUUAUGUUAUUAAGUGGCAUAUUAAUCUGAAAUUACAUUACUUAUGUAUGUGUUGCCUUUUUCCCUACAUCAGAUACAGGUGCGAUAGUCGGUAAGAUAGACAUCUAAAAAUUUCUAGACCUCGUAAAAAUAUGGGAAAGCUGUAGGGUUAUACUCGUACAAAAACAUAAUGACUACUGUUCUAAUGCUCGAUGACGCAUCCACGGCUUAUUGGAUGGUCGUGAGGCCAUCACUUUCGGUGGUUCAGAUAUAAAGUUGUUCUAAAGUUGCUUUUCGCACUCGGUGAAGGUUGGAAGGCGGACGGUCUUUCACAAGGAACAAAGGCGGGAGGAGGAUAAGGCUGCAUCCCUGAAUGAAGAUCGAUUCCCUUUUGGCUGUCCAUGUCAAACUUAUGGCUAUAUUUUCUCCCAUAAGAACAAACGGUACUGAAACAUAAAUUCCUAUCCAACAACCGAGUUUGCUUGAAGGUGACGACUUCUGAAUGAAGCCAUCUAUUUCUCAAUCCUUUAUAUGCACACGCUUGUAGGGUCUUGCUCAAGAAAACCUACUCGUCGAAACAAACGAAUUAGCCACGCAUUAAUCACGAUCAUCUUCCAAAAUGUUCACUAGUCUUUGAAUAAACCUUAUUAAAGAUACCCCAAGUGUUCUUCUUUCUCUUUAUAUAUAUAUAUAUAUAUAUAUAUAUAUAUAUAUAUAUAUAUAUAAUAAUNNNNNNNNNNNNNNNNNNNNNNNNNNNNNNNNNNNNNNNNNNNNNNNNNNNNNNNNNNNNNNNNNNNNNNNNNNNNNNNNNNNUAUAUAUAUAUAUAUAUAUAUAUAUAUAUAUAUAUAUAUAUAUAUUAAAAAUCUGAUUUGCACAGGACAAGAAAGGAAUAUUUCCGCUCAGGGGGCAAAACCAUAACUUGACACCUUAAGAUAUUUUCGCAAGAAUCCGCGGGUACGCGAACGUCACGGCCCUACCAUGGGACCCACCGUCAAAGUUGUCGAAGGCUCCACAUAAAAGAAAGUUUGGGGGACACGUAUUCGCGGACCCUAAACAAAUGGCGGUGAGGCCCGGAGGGUGACCGCCGCACCCCCACAGGAGCGAUAAGGAAGGCGGAAGGGUAAAAUGACCUAAAGGGCGGUGAGGUUACCGCCAGAUCCGCCAGCGCUCGUUCUAUAUAUGUACUUUUGGGGGUGCCCUGGGGUUUCUUGUGCUCCUACAGAGGUGGGUUGGUGUUACCUCCCCCUCUUCCGCCGUCCUUUCCUGUUCAGGGUUCCGUUCCGAUCCUUUCCAUGGCGGCUUCCGACGUCGAGUUCCGCUGCUUCGUAGGCGGGCUCGCCUGGGCUACCGACGACGCCUCCCUUGAGCGGGCUUUCAGCACCUACGGCGACAUCGUCGAGUCUAAGGUCCCUUAUCUUCUCCAGAUCCAAGAUCUCAACUCGGGUUUCGAUCCUUUUUCCCUACUAGAUCUCGGAUCUCAGACCUCUUUCGUUGUGUUUUACGGUGCAGAUCAUCAACGACCGAGAGACGGGGAGGUCGAGGGGCUUCGGGUUCGUCACCUUCCGCGACGAGCAGUCGAUGAGGGACGCCAUCAAGGGGAUGAACGGCCAGACCCUUGACGGCCGGAACAUCACAGUAAACGAGGCCCAGAACCGCCGGAGCGAUGGUGGAUUCCGCAGCGGAGGUGGUGGGUACGGCGGCGGCGGAGGCUUUCGCAGCGGAGGCGGUGGGUACGGCGGCGGCGGAGGAGGUUUUCGCAGCGGCGGCGGCGGCGGGUACGGCGGCGGCGGCGGUCGCCGUGACGGAGGCGGUGGUUACGGCCGCGACCGCGGGUACGGCGGUGGAUCGUCGGAUGGGUACUGGAGGAGCUAAGGCGGUCGUUCGCUUGCCGCGAUCGGAGGGCUGGGCUUCGUAGUUAUCUGCUGCUUUGGUUAUCUUUAAGUUUGGACUUGUCUGUUGUCUGGCGUCAUUUUGGGUCUUGCAGUAUUAGUAGACUGAUGGUUGUGGUUUGGCAGUCGUAUGAGUGGGUGUUAUUAUCAAAGAAUAGAAAAGAAAAGACUUUUAAAAUAAGGUGAAUAAGUGCCUGAAGAAAAGCAUCCUUUCUACUUGACAUUAAUAUGUUGACGACGAUGCGUUUGGGGUGGAAUAGAUGAACAUCUGUUGUUAAUUAUUUCACUAUUAUCGUCUUACUAUCCCAAAGUAAAGGAGGGUGAAGUGUGUGCUAGUUAGUUUUGAGUAUAAACAUUUAAAAAUAGCAGCCAAAUUAUUUUCGGUUAAAACUUUUUUUUUAAGUUUUUAUUUUAUUUUCAUAGAGUAUUUUUUUAAUAAUAAAAAUAUGAUUAAUUUUAUUCUUUAUUCACUAUCCUUGUUUCUUAUUAUCGAGACGUAUCAUCGACUUUCACCCUUCAUUUUCAUCUACAACGAGGGCAUCUUAAAUCCCUUUUAUGUCAUUAUUGAUCUUGUCGUGAGGUUUUCGCCUUUUGUGUCUUUAUCACUUUUGAGGAGUGCGUCUUUAACCCCUUUCAUCGAAAAUAAAACAAAAACAAAAGGAGUAAAAAAAAUGAGAACGGCAGAUUUUUAUUUUGUCUUUUAAGAAUUUUAUUCUUAAUUUAUUAAGCAAUAAAUCACCCAUUGAUCAAAUUAUUUUAUACAAUCCAAUUCCUACAAUCUAAUCUAAUCUAAUCAUACAGCAGAAUCCAGCUGCAGGGAUCUGGAAUUCCCAAGCUUUUCUAGCUUACAUUUGAAACGUGAUAUCAAAAAUAGCUAUACUUGGAUUGCCUUGCGAGUAACAAGCCAGCUUGAAUUGCCCAGACAAAACAAACAUCUCACUGGGCUGUGGGCGGAGUACGGAGUCAUGCGUGCUCCGUAUCAAAGCUUGGACGGGACGGCUCGUCCCUCGGUGCCUUCCCAUUUGACGUUACCCUCUGCCACCCCCUAAACAAGAUGAAAACGCUAAUAUCAUACCCCGCUACUCAUUAGGAAAACAAAAGAAUCCUUCCUUUGUUCUAUCUCCGAAGCUUUUUCCAAUCUUUCUACUGAAUUUUGAGCAACUACAUAUGCCUGCCACUACAGGUUUAGACAAGUGAACCAAGCAAGAGGAAGAGGAACCUAAUGCAGUGAUGCACUAUGAUCUAACUCCAUUCACCAAACACAGGCUGUAAAGUUUCGACGGUUCCCUACUGAGUUGGCGCACGCGAGAAGUCAACUUCGCUUCGCUCUUUUUCUCCGAACAAAAGAACACCACCCUUUUCCUGCUCAUUCAUAGGUCAAUGGCGAAGAAUCAAAACAAUGAGAGAUCAGUUAAUACAUCACAAUAAGAUGUCAUCUGUUCCAUGACAAUUUCGUGUCAACACAAAGGGCAGAUGGAGUACCAAAUUUCUCUACGAAUAGAUAAGGGGACGCUGUCAGUGCAUCUUAGCGAAGAAGUAUGCAAGACACAAGAAAAGAUCUUCAUGGAAAUCGUCAAGCCAAACAAUAAAAGCCAUGGAAUUUGCAGGAUGCGCAAUAAAUCAACAUGGUUAGUGCUUUAUUCUUGAAGAAGAAGAAGAAGAAGAAGAAGAAGAAGAUGCCUUUUUUUUUUAUCUAUAGUAUCGAGUGAUCACACUGAAUUUUGCCAGAAUGUGUUCUGCAGAUCAAUUGCCAUUUACAAGAAUGCUCCGUCGCAGCAGCUGAGGCACUGCAGAUCUCAUCCUACCUCGACGUAUCCACGUCUCCGUCUUUGGAAGCGGAAUCCGACGACGCAAUAGCUUGCCUUGCUUCCUAAGACCAUUAGAACGAACGCUCUCUAAAAGAAUUCCCCUCAAGAUGAUAAAAGAAGAAGAGAUCCUCCAUACCUUGCUUUGCUUCCUAAGCUUGACGAGGUCACCUACCCCUCUGAUCGUCUUCUUGAGACAAAUCCUAUGCUGAUCCAUGGGCGUGCUGACGAACUGGUCGAAGUGGUCCUUGACGUUGGCCAAGAAGCCGGCGUCGGGCGCCUUCUUCUUCCAACAAGGCGAGACGGCACGGCCGGGGAACUCCACCUCCGAUCGACCCUUGGCUGACUCCAUCAUCUCCAGAAACCUAUUCCCAGUGUCCGAUCACCAAAUGCUCUAUGUUGGCAGAACAGAGCACGCCUUUGAAUUAAAAUACCACUGGUGCCACCGCAUGGUACGAUUUACAUUAAUUUAAUUUGCGGUUUGAAUUCGACAGAAAAUGAGAAAUCACGACACGACAAGCCCUCACGCUUCUACCAAGAACAAAGAGCAACAGCAUGAUGCACUCACUUUCAGAGGAGCAUAACAGAGAUACUGUGGUGGUCGCCUUUAGCUGCAAGAAGCGGAAAGAGGAAGAGAGAGACAGGCAGGCCAGCAGAGAUGCCAAAUGUUUGAAAGGCGAGGAUGGAAAUUAAUAGGAGAGAGAGAAAGAGGGUGGGGAGAAGGAUGACGCGGAAUCGAAAGAAAUCUACCUAGUUCCGCCCAUUGGAAGGGAAGAGCGGGGUCGGUUUUGCUCUCGAGACUUGCUUUGCCUUUCGGGUCUCGGACGCCGACAUUUGACUGGAUUUGCUGGGUGUGAAGAACGACGGCGGGCCGGAAGCCGUGCGCUUGCGGUUCCCUAUUCGCCCCCGAAGAAUCUUAUUCACGCUACGAAAAGAUUGCGGUUGGCUUUUGCAAGAUAUUUAUGAUGCCGACUAUAAUUGCGGUUGGCUUUUGGAUCUUGUGGAGCAUAUUCCACGAUUCGGGCCACUCGUCCCGAGGGCUCGCCCCCGAUCGUGGAGGGUUUCGUUCGGUGAGAGUAGAAAAAAUCUGUGUCAUCAAAUCAUUCUUAUGCUUGUGGAUUUGACAUGGGAUAUUGUUGGUCUAUUUUUGAUAUCGCUUAUUAAUCAAUUAUCUUGAAUGAGUUCACAGGUGGAGUGUUAGCGGCAGCGUCGGUCCUCUUCCUUCGCUGAAAGGCAACCUGCGUCGCCCUCAUCAUCGCUGCUGGCGGCGUGCCUUUCGAAAGGGUUCGUACGCUGUUUCACUUUAUUCCUUGAGCUUUACUCUUCGUAAUCGGUGAAGUAAAGACCGGCCCCCUAAAUCACGGGAAACGGCAGCCUUUUACCCCUUUCCUAUCGGGUCGUCUGGUCACUGAUUUCAGUCUAGGAGGCCUGCACGUUACCUGUUCGACGUAAUGAUCGAGACAAAAUAUGUCCUCCGUGACCUGCGUCCGCCAUACUAGGAGUAAUGUGCGGUCGUGCAUGGCGAUUGCCCUUCUUUCACAGUUUCAGUUAAUCAAAUAAAGAGGCUAGUUUGGUUGGAAUUUUCCACCUUAAGUUCCCAGCUAGAUUUUGUGGGUUGAAAUGUUGGGUUAAGGAAGAUGGAACUUGUAAUAGAUGAUAAACCCCCGUUUCCCGACGGUGAAUUGAUUGGAACCUGUGUAUUUGAACAUCUGAAAAUAUGCCACACGUCCCGUCCCGGGAGCUCAGAGCGAUGUCGCCUGACGCUGCUCUGCACGUCCCGGAAUGAUGGCCGGUCAGAAGGGUCGUCUCAUCCCUCGGGGGUUGCGGCGACGUCGAAUCGACGCACCAUCAACCCUCGCGCCAUAGUAUAAAACCCCUAGCCGGCCUCCAACCAGGGGAGAGGCAAAAAACAAAAGGGAAAAAGAAAAGCAAUCUCUCUUAUUACUAAUUUGAUCGUCGGAGGGGCCAUAGCCGGGGAUCAUCCGGCGGAGGCCAUUUUUGCAGGAGGGCGACCACUUGUUGACGACGAGGGACUCGGCACAGGAGCACCAGUCGUCCGACAAUGUGGAGUUGUUAAUCAGCCCCAAUCUCGACCAACGCCAACAACACUCCUUCCCGAGGGCCUGGCCACCUCAUCAUCCAGAUCACCCCACAAUAGGCUCCCGACAUCGACCCGUGGACCUAGCUGUGCUGACUCAACGGCCAUGAUAUAUUUGUUCGCUAACAAUAUGGACUCAGCAUGUGCAUUUUAGGUUCUCGUCUAUAUCUUGUAAGUUUGUAAUCAAUUUAUGAUUUGGAUCUUAAUUUGAUCAGACACUUAUUCUUCUUUUCAUCACAUAGUGAGUGUUUCCGGAUUGAUGCUUGCCAGAGCAGAUCUAUUUGUAGGAUUCUGAGUCGAUGUUUCUGCUGCAGUGCUACUAUCAAACAUUCGAGUUAGAGAUGUAAGUAAGAUAGUUCUCGAGAAGUUUCGUGAUGAUGAAGUAGGUAAUAUUAUGGUUCUUGUGAUUACCAAGCCAUUAGAUUGUUCAUACAAAUCAGAAGCUUAUUUGCACAAUAUGUGUUUGAUGGUAUACAGCUUGGAAAAUGGCUUUAGCGAUAAAAAAUUGUUUGUUGUUGGGGGAAAAGAAUUAAUCGAUAGCUUAUAGAUAAAAGAGAUGGGCCUGCAGUAGAUGCAUUUGAAUUCCUCAAAUAAUUGUCACAUAUAAAACUGACAUAUAAAUCAUCUAAGCACCUUUCUUGAAUUAACUGGACGAGACGGUUUUUUGAAAUGCAUCAUGAUGUUGAAUGAGCCAAUUGGCUGAUUCUCUUCUCUUAUCACUUCGGCCACCUUCUGUUUAUGUUCGAAAUUUCAGAAUGAUUUUGUGCUAUGUGCACCAUCUUGUACAGCCUCAGACAGUGUGAGACAAGCGAUCGUCCCACCCGAGUCUAAGGUGAUGUCGAUGCGAUGCACUAUAUUAGCUCUGAGGCUCCAUGUUGGUAUUAACGUGGCUACUGAUUGUUGUCGCAAGGGGUGACCCUAGAAUAUGCCCUAUCAACAUUGAUGAAGUUGUAAAGACAAAGCAAGAUAAGAAAUCAAAAUGAAGCUAAAAAAUCACAACAACACUUAUUUGUGUGUUCAUUUUGUUGUUUAGGUAUUUUUUUAUGAAAGAAGUUGUUGAUGUUCUGAUCAACUUGAUGUGAGCCAGCCUCUUAUAUGCAGGGUUGUUCAAAAUACCUCUGACAUGAAAAUGUUGAGCUCUCGAAAUAUUACUUGUACGAAGAUCGAGGUUGAGAGGUUUCUCGACCCGAUCCCUCCAACGAGGUUAAAAAGAUGAUCCUUUAUUCAUUAUAUUGAAGAUAAGCCUUUAUACCUAAUCGUAAAAAGCUAGACUAUUUCAUGAAAUCUUUUACGAAGAGGCAAUCUCUAAUUGCCUCCAAUAUUUCUCUUAGCCUCGUAUUAAUGUGAGCGACUGAGGGGGGGGCAACGAACAACCAUGUCUUAGACCUUUUCCCAUGUGGGUAGACAGGUGGAGAGUGGCCUUCAUUUUUCUCUUUCAACACUAGACACCAUAUGGUGGUAAUAUAUCGAAUGAUAAUUAGCUAACAAUUGACUCCUUAUCAUGUAUCCCCCCCCCCCCUUAAAGGUGUGCUUCGGGGCUCUCAUGAGAGAGAUUUGAAGUGCAGCGUUUAGUUCAUCUAGUACAUCAAGCUUAUGCUUCUUUGAUCCAUCAUCAACCUAGUGGCACAUCUAGUUCAUCUGACAUGUUUAGUUCAUCGUGCCCGUGCAAUAUUGAUGGUGAUCUAUCGUCGACUUAUUCUUCAUAUCAUCGAGGGAUGCACUUUGGUUGGAUGGGGUUGGGUUUCCUGACCUCGCCAUCUCUUCCCUACUUGGUUAAGUUUGUAUAUUGGUAUGUCUCGAGCGGGGGAGGGGGUCGUGUUUUCCGACCUUCAUGUCUCAGACAAAGGUGGGGGUCAGGUUUCCUAACCUCCUCAUCUCGAGUGAAUGUAGGGUUCAAGUUUUUUGACCUCUACGACUCAACGAUGACCUUAAGCGAAGGAGGAGGGGGUCAGGUUUCCCGACCUCUCUGCCUCACGCACCACGAGCAUGUUUUAUCUUGUGCCUCCCGUCGUGGUGAGUUUCUUUUGAUGCAGGUUGUAUUUUCUCGACUCACAUAUAUUGGACAUAUUUUGUCUUAUGCUUUAUGUCGUUAUGAGUUUCUUUUAACACAGGUCGGAUUUUCUAUACAUCGGUUACUUUUACGCUCUUUGAGGUGCUUUUCGUACAUUGGUCACUUUUCCACUCUCCAAGGUGGUCUUCAUACAUCAAUCACUUUUUGCAUUCUCUGAUACAAUCUUCGCAAAUCAAUCACUUUUGCGCUCUCCGAGGAAGUCUUCGCACAUUGAUCGCUUUUUCGCUCUCUAAGGUGCCCUUUCAUCAAUUGAUUUCCUUUCGGAUUCAACUUAAUAGGAUACUUGUCUUCAAUGUGGGAGAAAAGAGAUCGACCCCCUCCUUAUAAAUCCCCCUUAAUCAUAGGGGUGAGACUUAUUCUCUCAUUUGAGCCUCUAAGGCCCCCAUUAGGAGCCCUCUCCACUUAGCACUGGUUCUCCUUGUAAGGUGAUAAGUUCUUAAUUACCUCAUCCUCUCAGCGUAUCGGAUCUAUAACACCUCGGCCUUUCAACAUCCUUUGCUUUCACCUUCGUAAGUUGGGAUAUAUUUCCUUUCUCGCACAAGCUCCUCCCGAUCUCAUGAUCGUCGAAUGGUCAAGGAGGUUGAUGCUCCAUCCUUGGACAACUUAGAGGCGAAUGAAGUUCUGACCUCCCCUCGUCGGGGGAAUCAAUUCUCAUUAACCCAAAGGUUCUUUGAGACUUAGAUCCAUGUAUUAUGAUAUCCAUGGAUCUGUGCAAUAGGAAUUAGAUUAUGAUGAGACCGAUUCGCCUUUAAAUACAAACUCUAAAUAAUUCUAGUCAUAGAUCACUCAAGAGAGACAUUGAGAUAAUCGGACAGACUAGUGUGUUGUAUACUCAUCCAUAUGAUAGAGGUAGUUGGUCUUAUAGCUACUCAUGUGGGGACACUAGGGAUAUCGUACAGGUGCUGAAUGAAAAAUGAGUUCACUGAUUGAUCCGCUUACGGAAUGCUAGAUAGUUGGUGAUAUCUCGUUGUUAGACAACGAUUCCAUCAUCUCAGUGGUGUAUCUAGUUCUUAGACUUGAGAUACCAAAGAUGUCUUAUAUUAGUACUUCACUCUUUAAUACCAGACUUAUAGACAUGAAAGUUUCAAAUCUAGCAUAACUAGUCAUUGGGAGUGGUCGCCAACCAUACGAGAGGUAUUGAGUAUCGAUAAAUAAUCAUCCACUCUCGGUGUCAUGAGUGGAAUAUCACAUGUAUUCUUACUUAGGUAAAUCUCUAGCUACAGUCAUUUGGAUUAAGAGAAAAGAAGUUUUCCGAGAGAAUCCAAUUAAAGCGAGACUCGAGUAGAAACCGUUUGGGCCUGACAACACAAUGUCUGGUAUACAAUUUCUAGGAUAUUAUAUAGAUAAGGGAUUAUAGAUACAUGGUAAUUGAGGAUAGACAGGUCUAAUGGAUUGGAUUCCCCUCCUAUAUUGUUUGAGGACUAUUGCGUAGUGGCCUAGUACAUUCGUAGCCGAUGAGUCGAGUGAAUUAUUAUAAAUAUAUUAAUUCAUUGAGUCAGAAUGAGUUCUGAUAAGUAUUACUUAUGUCCAGCUUGAUAUUAAGCCUAGAGGGUCACACACAUAUAUAGAUAAUAAUUCACAUAUAUGGUAGGUGUUGUGAUGAGUAGAGGUUCAGAUAUGAGAUAUCCAUUGGAGCCUAUAUCUUAUUGGAUAUCCAAUAAGCCCCUGAAUUAUUGGAUAAUAUGGACGAGAUCAAAUAAGGGCCAAUAAAAGAUUAUUAGGUAAAAAUUCACUAAUCUAAGAGGCUUGAGUAGUUGGAUGAAGAUCCAUUAUCUAAUAGGGUAGGAUCCAUUAUGAUUAAGUUGAUAUGAGACCUCUAUAAAUAGGAGAAAACCAAAGGGUCACAAGUUAUACCUCAUUUGACUAUCACCUUCUUUUCUCCUCUCCCCCUCUCCUCCUCAACCAGUAGCCCAUAUUUGGGGUGUGUGGACUGGAAGAAGGGUCGACCCCUUCUUGAUUAUGUGGUGUGCGCAGCAAGGAGAUUUGAGCAGCGAUUUGAGAAGCGUCUUCACAACCACUGCCAUGUGGAUUGUUGAAUCUCAGAUUUUGAUGAUGAAAUCAAUUAAUGAGUUUAUGAUCUAAUCUGUGUUUUGAGUAACGUAGGACUAACUUCGAUUAGAAAAAGCAAAUCGAUUAAAACAGGAGGAAUCAUAUGUUGGGUCAGAGUGAAACAUGUUAGGAGAUUGGACGUUGAGCUGGAGGAUCGGUCGACGUACCGGCAGAAGGACUUCAUGCCAUGAGUUCGAGCAUCGGGCCAAAGGAUCAUACAUUGCGACAAGGAGAUCGAAAGUUGCAAGAGUCAACAUGCCAAUUGGGCAAUACACCAAAGGAGAGGACGAUGCGUUGAAGGAUAGGACGAAGCAUCAAAUGAACCAAUGACAUACCGGACAAUAUAGGAUUCAUGCUUGUAAUCGUGUGUAUAGAUCGAGUUAGUUUAGGACUAAUUGAGUCAAUUUUGGGAUAAAACAAUUUCAACUCAAUUAUAGGCCAAUUGGGCCUGAUCAAGGCUAAAUUGGGUCUAUUGUUUGGCCCAUUCAGUGACCUAUAGCAGGAUCCGGUGAUGGUACUGCUAGACUGGGUGGUGGUACCGCCCAGUGUCAGACUGAUAGUUGGUGGUACCGCCCAAUACUGGCGGUAGUACCACCAAUACCCCGAAAACCCGAGAUGAGACUAUUUUGGCUCCAAAUUUGAAUCCAUUUGGGGCCUAUAAACACCCCACUUAUCCUUGCUCAAUGAAGAUAAGAAUUAAAACAAAAAUAGUGUGAAAACUCUAUAGUAAAUCCUUAAGAAUUCCCCUCUAGCUUUAAGUUUCGGUUUUAGUUUAAGAGAGGGGUGAGUGGAUUGUAAAGGUUAACUCUUGAACUCGUGAAAAAGGAGAAAAGAGUUGUAAGGGUAGUUGAUCUUUGCCCGUUGGAAAGAGGUUUAAUAGUGGAAGUCGGUGGCCUCGACUGAAGAAGAAUCGGGAGUGGACGUAGGUCAUGACGUCCGAACCACUAUAAAUCCGGUGUACUCGGUUUAUAUUUAUGUUUUGCUUUUCAUUCUCAUAUUGUAAACUAAUUUACUUUAUUACUACUCUCACUACACUUAUGAACGUGCUUUCUAAGUUUAAACGCUUUCCGAUACGAUUUCAUCGAACGAAGUUUUCAAAUCGUCAUUUUUACGACAGCAUUAAUUCACCCCCCUCCCCUCUCCCCUCUUAGUGCCGAUUUCGGUCCUAAUAGUUGGUAUCAAAGCUAAGAUUUUUUUAGUUUACUUUAACACCCAAAAGAAAUGGUUUUUACUGACAAUCAUGAGGGUCUUUCUAUUACUCAUCUUCCUAUGUUUAAUGGGAUGGACUACACAUAUUGGAGAACUAGAAUGUGAAUUUUCUUGCUUUCUAUGGAUUUCGAUUUAUGAAACAUUAUUGAAAGCGAUUUUGAAAAGUCUUCUAAACCAAUGAACGAAUGGAAUGAUUUGGAGAAGAAGACUUUCUCUUUAAAUGCUAAAGCGAUGAACACAUUAUUUUGCACUCUUGAUAAAAAUGAAUUUAAUCGGGUUUAUAUAUGCGAAACUACACAUGAGAUUUGGCAUAUAUUCGAAAUCACACAUGAAGGCACAAGUAAAAUUAAAGAGUUUAAAGUCAAUCUUUUGAUGUAUAGUUUUGAAUUGUAUCAAAUGAAGCCAAGCGAAACUAUUGUUGACAUGUAUACUUGUUUUACGGAUGUCGUCAAUAGUUUGAAAGAUCUUGGUAAAUAUUUUUCUAAUCUUGAACUUGUAAACAAGAUUCUAAGAUCUCUUCUAAAAAGUUUGGAUCCAAAAGUAACGACAAUACAACAAGCAAAGAACCUAAAUAAUUUUUCACUAGAAGAAUUUAUUGGGUCUUUAAUGACCUAUAAAAUGACUUGUAUUGAACAUGAUGAAUAUGAGAACUACCUUCCAAGGAACAUGAAGAAUUUAACACUUCAAACAAUAGAAGAUCACUCGAGAGAAAGCUCAAGUGAUGAUGACAUAGAACUUUUGACAAAAAAUCUUAAAAAGUUCAUGAAAAAAACUAGUUCUAAAAAUGAACUUAAAAAUGACACAUUUUACUAUAAAUCGAAGAAGAUACCAAAGAAGAAGAAAGCAUUCUAGACGAUAUGGGACGAAUCGAGUACAUCUAAUGAUGAUGAGUAAACCAACAAAAGCGAGGUGGCGAACUAUGCCUUAAUAGAUUUCGAUAAGGAGGUAUACAACUCAACUGAAAUGUCUUUACCGUACGAUGAAUUAUUAAAUACUUUUCAUGAUUUAUUUGAUAAAUGUAAGCUAGUUAGUGAAAAAUAUAAAUUAUUAAAAAAGGAACAUGCUUCUCUUACUAAUGAAUUUGAAAAUUUAAAAAAUGAGCACGAUAAUUGCAUGUUAACUCCUUGCACUAAAUGUGAAGAAUUAUAUUCAUGCAAAAAGAAAAUUUUAUUAUUACAAUAAAUGUUAGAUAAAUUUAAAAUUAGUAGUAAAUCUUUAAACAUGAUUCUUGCCAAUAAGAGUCAUAUUCGUAGAAAAGAAGAAAUUAGCUUUGUGAGUAGUAACACUCAACAAAAACCAACCACAUUUGUUAAAGGACCCACAUUAAAUAUUUUCCAUGAAAACAAAUUUAAUUUUUGUAGUAGACAUUAAUUUUUGUAGUAGACAAUGAUAGCUCACCACUAAGUUGAAAGUCUUUUCUAAACCCUAAAUACCAAAAUAAGUACUACUGCAUGAAAUAACCCUUCAUAGAGAAAAUUUUGAAAUUAAGUGUUUUACAAUUGUUGACCAACUCCAUAAAUGCAUUCCUUGGUCAUGAAGAAAAACACCUUGAAAUAGCUUUAACUUUGUGCAAGGAAUAUGCUGAUGAGCUAUCAUAUUUGAGUGGGCUGAGUUGAAAUUAUGAGGCAAUAUUGUUGGCUGAAAAAAAUAUCAUAUCAUCAGCAAGGUCCAUAUGAGCAAAUUGUAGCAAAUUAGACACUCCCAUGUCAAUCUCCCUUGGUUGAAAAAGACUUAUCCUUAAGUCCUUGUUUGCUUCGUCAACAUGAUUGUGAAAAGGACUUAAAUCAGCAACAUUAAAUGUUGGGGACACUCUAUAAUCUUCAGAUAGCUCGAUCUUAUAAGUGUUUUUGCCAAUUCUCUUAAGUACUUUGAAUGGACCAUCAGCCUUUGGUUUUAACUUUCUAAAUUUGCCCAGUGGAAACCUCUCCUUCCUUCGAUGAAUCUAAACCAAAUCACCAACAUUAAACUCCACAUGUUUUUUGUGUUUAUUGGUAGCUUCCAUGUACCUCUCAUUUUGCUUUUCUAUAUUUGCUUUAACAUCCUCAUUUAGCUUCUUUAUCUGCUUUUCUCUCUCAUUAGCAUCUCCACUAAAUUCCUUAGUUGUCGAAUGAGGGACGAAAUCCAAAGGACUAGUAGGAUUAGCACCAUAAACAAUAUCAAAAGGACUUUUAUCAAUACUAUGAUGCAUAGAAUGAUUGUAUGCAAACUCAAUUUGUGUAAGAAUGAUAUCUCACUGCUUAAUAUUCUUGCCAAUAUAGCUUCUAAGCAAAUUUUCCAAGGUUCUGUUCGUUAUCUCAAUUUGACCAUCUGUUUGUAGAUGAUGCGAGCUAUUGAAAUUCAAAAAAGUACCUAACUUUCUCCAAAGAGUUCUCCAAAAAUGACUAAGAAAUUUUGAAUCUCGAUCAAACACCAUAGUUCUUGGAAUACCAUGCAAUUUAACAAUCUCCUUAAAAUACAAAUCAACAAUACAAGAUGCAUCAUUCGAUUUAUUGCAGGGAACAAAGUGAGACAUUUUUAAAAAUCUGUCAACAACAACCAUGAUAGAAUCUUUGUUCCUUUGAGUUCUUGGUAGUCCCAAAACGAAAUCAAGACUCACAUCCUCCCAUGAAGCAUUUGGCACAGGCAAUGGAGUGUACAAUCCAGAAUUUUAACUUCUUAUUUUUGCUAAAUGACACACUCGACAUUGCUAUACAUGUUUCUCCACAUCUCUAAAUAUUUUAGGCCAAUAGAAGUUUGAUUGAACAAGAGCUAGAAUCUUGUCUCUACCGAAAUAUCCACCCAAAACACCACCGUGAGCUUCAGCUAGAAUUUCUUGUCUCAAAGAAUAAGAUGGAACACAUAAAGCAUUAGCUUGAAAAGAAAAAUCAUCAAAGAUAGAAAAUUAUUGAAAGGAACCUGAUUUGCAAUUCUACCAUAUUGAGCCGAAAUCCACAUCAUUCUCAUAGAGAUCUUUGAAUGUUUUAAAUCUAACCACUUUGACUUCCAUUAUUGAUAAUAAAAAAUACUUUCUGCUCAAUGCAUCAGCAACUACAUUUUGAACACCAGAUUUGUGCUUGAUUGUAAAAUUAUAAGAUUGCAAAGACUCCACUCAAGUUGUAUGCCUCUUGUUUAGCUUGUGCUGAUGAUUAAUGAACUUUAAUGCCUCAUUAUCAGAAUAUAAGACAAAUGGCUUGGUAGAAUAUUUCUUUCUCGUAUCAUUCAGCUUUUCACUAAAAAAUGCAUUGGGCUUUCCAUCUUGACUCAAAACAGCACCAAUUCCCACAUUAGAUGCAUUACAUUCAACCCCAAACACAUUGUCAAAAUUUGGUAGAACUAAGAUAGGAGCUUCAGUCACCUUUCUUUUUAAAAGCUCAAAAGCAUCAUUAGCCUCAUUAGUCCAUUUGAAUUUAUCACAUUUCAGACAUUCGGUGAUUGAAGCGAUAAUAGAGUUAAAACCCUUGAUGAAUCUUCUAUAAAAGGAAGUUAAGCUAUGGAAACUCCUCACAUCAUGCAAUGAAGUAAGUGUUGGCCAAUUGAGAAUAGCUUCUACCUUACUUUGAUCUAUCAUAAUUCCAUCUUUUGAAACAACAUAUCCCAAAAACACAACACUAGAAGUAAAGAAAUCACACUUUUUUAGACUAACAUAAAGCUUUUACUGCCUCAAAAUAAGAAAGAUCUCUUUCAGAUGAUUCAUAUGCUCCUCUUUACUCUUGUUGUACACCAAUAUAUCAUCAAAGUAAACUACAACAAAUAUUCCAAUGUAUGACUAAGUAUGUGAUUUAUAAAUCUCAUGAAAGUACUAGGAGCAUUAGAUAGCCCAAAUAGCAUAACCAACCAUUCAUAUAAGAAUUCUCUAGUUUUAAAUGAUGUUUUCCACUCAUCUCUGGGCUUCAUUCUUAUUUGGUGAUAGCCACUCCUCAAAUCAAUUUUAGAGAAAAUAUAAGCACCAUGUAAUUGAUCAAGUAAACCAUCGAAUCUUGGAAUAGGAAAAUGAUAGUCCACUGUGAUUUUAUUGAUGGUGCGACUGUCCACACAUUCUCUAAGAACCAUCCUUCUUAGGUACCAACAAGGUUGGGGCUGCAUAAAGACUCAUGCUCUCUCGAAUCAAUCCAUUUUCCAUCAACUCAUCCACUUGUCUUUAAAGUUAUCCAUGCUCCUUGGAACUCAUUCUGUAGGCUGCAUUGUUUAGUAUAAUAGGCCCUGGAAUAAGAUUAAUAUAAUGCUGGAUGUCUCUCAAAGGUAGAAGGUCAUGUGGAAUCUCUUCUGGUAUAACAUUUUUAAACUCCUCCAUGAUUUGUUUCAUGAUUGCUGGUGUCUUCUUGUGUUGUUCAUUUUCCUCUACUACUACUAGAGUCAUAACAUGACCACCCUUGUCUAAUUCACCUUUGCAUUCGCCAUAGGAUAUAAAAGCGCUAACUUCCUUCUUUGGUGCACUGAUUUCGAAAGGUUGUAAUGGAGCUAAGAUAAUAUUCUUUUCAUUCACCUUAAAAGAAUAAGUAUAUUUGUAGCCGUCAUACAACACCCUUCUAUCAUAAUGCCAAGGUCUUCCCAACAGCAAAUGACAAGCGUCCAUAGGAGCAACAUCACACCAUACUUUGUCUUUAUAAUACAUAUCAAUAGAAAACAAAACUAAACAUCUUUUAGUUACCUUGAUGUCAUUUCCUUUUUACAACCAACAUAAUUGGUAUGGAUGUGGAUGAGGGAUUGUGUCCAACUUUAGCUUCUGCAUCAUCUCCAAAUAUACCACAUUCUUAAAGCUGCCGCUGUCGAUGAUCACCAUGCAUACCUUGCCAAGAGAAGUUGAUUUAGUGUGAAACACAUUUUUUCUCACCCAACUUUCAUCCUCGGCCACAUAAGACACUUGUAAGCUAUGUUACAAUAUAAUAGACAAACCAUGAUCUGCAUANNNNNNNNNNNNNNNNNNNNCUGCAGCGACACCCAGUCGAAAUGGGAGUUCAUAUCGGACUCCAAGAUGCAUCUGUCAACCAAGAUGUCCAGUGAUCUUCAUCAUAUUUUGGUUCGUCAUCAGCUUCAUCUAUUCCUCCAUCACUAUGAUCUUCAACCAAAGUUACAAUCCUUCUAUUUGGAUAAUCUAAAGCAAUAUGCCCAAAACCAUGACAUUUGAAGUAUUUUUUUGCCACUUGGGGUAGAAUAAUUUGGUAUUUUUUUGCUGCCAGCAAAUUCUUCACCCUUUUCUUACACCUUCGAUAUCACCUUGCUAUGGAUAAUAGGCUUGGAACUUCCUCCUUUUAUAUAGCAUUCUUUUGAACUGUACUGAGAACUCUUUUCAAACUUCUGUUGCUUUUUAACUUUUAAUGUCAGCUUGCUCACAUUAUUUAAAGACCAAUAUGGCUGUAGAUGAACAAUUUUAGCAAUCUCAUAUUUUAGACCUCCUAAAAAUAUUGCAAUGGUUUUCUCUUCUGGUUCCACAAGCUCUCCUUUUAACAUUAGAUUAUCGAAUUCUGCUAUGUACUCUUCCAUACUAAGAUCUUUUUAUUGAAAAUCAUGAAUUUUGAGAAAUAUCUCUUGUCAAUAAUUGUCAGGUAAAUAUUUUCUCUUCAACUCCCUUUUUAUUUUUUCCCAUAUCACGAUCUUACUCUUUCCCUCACGUUCUCUUUAUUUUUUCAGAUUUUCCCACCAAAAAGAUAUAUUCCAUCUAAGUUUAAGUGCCACAAGUUUUACCUUAUUUUGUUUUAGUGGUUCAUGAAAAUCAAAAAAUCUUUCCAAUGUAUUAAACCAAUCAAUAAAAUCAUCAACAUUAAUUUUACCUUCAAACUCUAGAAUAUCCAAUCUUGGGUUAUAUUUGUUUUGCCACUCGUCUUGGACUCCAUGUCUUACCCGAAAUCUUCUCGACUCCCUUAGAUGAGGAGGUGUAUCAUCAUCAGAAGUAAAUUCAUGGAUAUCAUUUUCAAGCUAGUUGUGUCUACUUUGAAGUUCUUCGAUUAUUACAUUUUUUUCUUGUAGACUAUGCAUCAAUCUUCAUAGCUACAACCUCGAUGACUUAGUAUCAUCUUCAUGGCAACUACCUUCAUCAACUAUAUCUUUUUCAUUCCACCUUGCCAUGAUCUUUAACCUUUAGCUCUGAUACCGGGGGUGAUGGAGAAUGGGGGGGGGGGGUUGGUAAAGCAGAAUAGAUUUUGAUAGAAAACCGAUAGUAGAGUUGUAUUUGCUAGAAUGAGUAUUUCGAAUAAAAAAGUCACAAUAGACAAGGAACGAACUCUCGAAAAAAAGUCGCAGUAUAGUUGUAUUUGCUAGAAUGAGUGUUUUGAAUAGAAAAGACACGAACUCACGAUAAAACUUAAAUAAGAUCGAAAAAUAGCAAUCACCAAGUUAAAAUCACAAAGGGAUACAAAAAGUUCAUCACCUCAAGGAUUUUAAACAAGGAUACAGAGCUGAAAACAAAAGACUUGUCAUUCAAGGACGCAUCCAAGAGAUAUAGAGUUUAAGGGAGUACUCUAAGAGGGCUUUUGCCAAAAUAUCAUUAGUUUCUAAAGUCCUUUCUAAGCUCUAAACACCAAAAUAAGUACUAGUUCAUGAAACAACCCUUCAUGCAUAGGAAAUUUCGAAAUUAAGUGUUUUACAACUACUAACCAACUCCAUGAAUGCAUUCCUUAGUCAUGAAGAAAAGUACCUUGAAACAGCUUUAACUUUGUGCAGGGAAUAUGUUGAUGAGCUGUCAUAUUUAAGUGGGCUAAGUUAAAGAUUAUGAGGCAACAUUGUUGGUUGAAAAAAAUACAAUAUCAUUAGCAAGGCCCACAUGAGUAGAUUGUAGCAAAUUAGACAAAUCCAUAAUAAAUGAGUUUCAUUAAAUCAAGCUUCUAUUUUAGCAAAGAGAAAGAAUUCAUUAAAAGGAUUAAGAUGUCCAUACAAAAUUAAAUCUCUAUCCUUGUAAAUGAUUAUCACAUACUAAAAGUUCAUGAAUAAAAUUCUUCUUUCGUGAGUAGAUCGAGGAAGAAUUCAUGGGAAGUAAUCAUUAAAUGAAGGAUAAAAAAUCUAUGAAUAAAAUUUCAUAAAUCAAAUCCCUUUUCUUGUAAAUAGAAGGAAGAAGGAUUCAAAAGAAUUAAUUAAGUCAUUAAUCCAAAAUUCCAUGAAUCAAGGCUCUUCUUUUGCAAAUAGAAAGAUGAUCUCGAUUUAAAAAGAAAAUUUAAGUUAUGAAGAACCAAGAAAUUUGAAAAAAGAAUUUACACAUUUGGAAGAUUUAGCAUGCCUAAUUCUCUUCUAAUGAAAUCAAACUGUUCCUCAUUCAAUUUCAAAUCGUCAGAUCAUCAAAAUCACUUUCAAGAUAUUCAUAAAAAAUAACAUAAAUAGAUUUAUUAAUCUCUUUUUGAAAAAUCAAUAAGAUAGUGAUAGAGAAAUUUUCAAUAAUGCAUUACCAUUUUAGUUGUUUCAAUUCAUGUAAUUGAUUUCAUACAAGUAUACCCAAAUUUUUAUUUUUUUGUUUUUAUGUCAAAACCAUGCAUCAUAUUUAAAACCAAAAGACAAAGACAAGAUUCAUCACAAAAAUCACCAAGAUUUCAAAUCAUCAUGCAUGAUUAAAUCAUUAAAGAUGGUACCAAAACUUUUAAUAUUUUUAUUACGUAUUACAUCAUUAUGCAUCAUUAAAUCAUCAAAUAUGAUUUCAUUAAACAUAAAGUAUUUUCAAUCAAAAUCAUUUUGUUUGUAAUGCAUUUUUCUUUUUCAAUGAAUCUAACUUUUCAUGCUUAGUGCUAUGAGUUAACAUUCAAUUGUCAUGCUCAAAUUUUAAUUAUUAUUAUUUCAAAAUCACUAGAAAGAGAAGCAUGAUAAUUUUUUCUUUUACUAACUAAUUUAAAAACAACUCAUGAAAUGCAUCAAGUAAUUUUAAAAUAAGGUAAAGGAGAUUUGUUUGAGUUGUUUACCUCAUUAUCAAGAGUCAUCAAAGCGAAGUUCGCUACUUCGUCUUCAUCAGUUUACUCCUCGUCUUCCGAUACACUUAUUUCAUCCCAAGCCGUCUUGAAUACUUUCUUCUUCUUUGGUAACUUCUUCUUUUUAAGUUUAUUUUUAUUUUUUUAUUCUUGUUUUAUGAACUUUUUAAAAUUUAUUGUUAAGAGUUCAAGAUCAUCAUGAUCAUCAUUAUCACCAUCAUUUGAGAUUUCUCUCAAGUGGUCUUCUUUUGUUUGAAGUAUCAAAUCCUUCAUGUUCUUUGGAAGGUAAUUCUCACGUUUAUUUUGUGUCAUACAACUCAUUUCAUAGGUCAUUAAAAACCCGAUAAAUUCUUCAAUCAAAAUAUGGUUCAAUUCUUUGAUUCUUGAUAGUUGUUGCUUUAGGAUCCCAAUUUUUGGAAAGGGAUCUUAGUAUUUUAUUAACAAGUUCAAGGUUAUAAAAAAUUUUUCUAAAUGUUUUUAAACUAUUGAUGACAUCCGUAAAACAGGUAUACAUGUCAAUAAUAGUUUCGCUUGGUUUCGUAUGAAACAACUCAAAAUCAUGCAUCAAAAGAUUAAUUUUAAAGUCUUUAACUCUACUAGUGCCUUCAUGUGUGAUUUCAAGUGUGUGCUAAAUAUCGUGAGUAGUUUCGUAAAUAGAAACACAAUUAAAUUUAUUUUUAUCUAAGGUGCAAAACGAAGCAUUCUUUGGCAUUCAAAGAAAAAGUCUUCUUUUCCAAUUUAUUCCAUUCGUUCAUUGAAAGAUAAGACUUUUGAAAUCCGUUUUCAAUGAUAUUCCAUAAAUUGAGAUUCAUAGAAAGCAACAAAACUCUCAUACGAGUUUUCCAAUAUAUGUAGUUCGUCCCAUUGAACAUAAGAGGACGAAUGAUAGGGUGACCCUAUUGAAAUAUUAAAAGAGUCAUUUCUUUUGAGUGUUAAACCAAAUAAGAAAAAUUGUCUCUAAUAUCAAUUGUUAGGAUCGAGUCGACACUAAGACGGGGCGGAGGGGGUGGUGAAUUAGUGUAGCGAUAAAAAUCACAUCGAGUCAAAAAUUUCAUUCGAUAAAAUCAUUUCGGAAAGAUGUUAAACUUGAAAGUGUACGGAAGCAUAGUGAAAGUAAAGUAGUUUGCAAUGAAAGUAAAGAGCAAAAUAGAAAUGCAAACCAAAUUUUUAUAGUGGUUCGGUCGUCGUGACCUACAUCUACUCUUGAUUCCUCUUCACUCGAGGCUAUUGACUUCCACUACCGAUCUUAUUUCAACGGGUGUAGAUCAACUACCCUUUUACUCCCCUCUUCUCCAUUUCACAGGUUUAAGAGACAACCUUUUAUAAGCACUCACUCCUCUCUAAAUAUAAUUCUAACUUUAGAACUAGAGGAGGGGAUUUCUCAAGUGAUUGUUAUAGCGUUUUCCCACUUUUAAGUUCUUUAUGCUUAUGUUUGUUAACCAGGGAUGAGAGGGGGUAUUUAUAGGCUCCAAAUGGAUUCAAACUUGGAACCAAAACUAGUCUCAUCCUGGGUCUUUCAGAUACUAGCGGUACCACCACCUGUAGCACUAACACUGGGCGGUACCAUCGCUUGACACCCUGCCACUAGGCGAUACCACUACCCAGUUUGGUAGUACCACCGCCUGAUAUAGUCUCGGAGACUGCACCACCGAUGGUUCCACCUAUUGGGUCACUUUUUGAGUCUUUCGCUUGGCCUAACACAGCCCAAACUUGGGCCUAAUUGGUCUCUAAUUGAGUUGGCCCAAUUUCAACCCAAUUACACCUAAAACCUACUUCGAUCUAGACAAUUAUUAUAAAGCUAAAUCAAAUGUUGUCUGGCAUGUCAUUGGUUCAUCGACGCCUCGUCCGAUUUUUCAGCGCAUCAUCCUCUCUUGCGGCCUAUUGUCCAAUCGACCAAUUGACAUCCAUAACUCCGAUUUCCUUGGUAUAAUUUUUGCUAUUCUUGGCUCGAUGCCCGAACCCAUGGCCCGAAGGCUUUUGCAGAUACGUCGACUGAUCCUCCAGCUUGACGUUCAAUCUUCUGACAUAUUCCACUUCGGCCCUACAUGAUUCUUCCUGCUUUAAUUGUCUCUCCCUGAUCGAAGCUUCCUACGUCACUCAAAAUGUAAAUCAUAUCAUAAACACUAUCAAUUGGUUCCAUCAUCAAAAUAUAAGAUUCAACACCUCAUCCAUCUAAUAUUCCAAAGACCGUAUACCGAGUAUAGUGCUGUCAAGCUCAUACGAUUUCUACUCGAGUCUCGCUCUAAUCAGAUUCUCCCGAAGAACUCUUUCUCUCUCAAUCCGAAUAACCAUAGCUAGAGAUUUGUCUAAGUAAGAACAUAUGGGAUAUUCCUCUUAUGACAUCCAGAAUAGAUGGUCCUCUAUCGACACUCAAUAGUCCUCGUAAGAUUCACAGCCACUCCCGAUGAUCGGCUAUGCUAAAUCUCAAACUUUCAGGUAUAUAAGUCUGAUAUCAAAGAGUGGAGUACUCAUACAGGACAUCAUUAAUGUCUCAAGUCUAAAGACCAGAUAUACCACUAGGACAACAUAAUCACUGUCUAACAAUGAGGUAUCAUUAACCAUUCAAUAUUUCAUGAGCAGAUCAAUUAGUGAACUCAUUCUCCAAUUGACACCUAUACUAUAGCCCUAGUGUCCUCACACGAGUAACUAUGAGACCAGCUGCCUCCAUUAUAUGGACAAGUAUAUAGCACAUCAGUCUGUCUAAUUAUCUCGAUGUCCCUUUCAAGUAACCUAUGAUCAUGAUUAUUUAGGGUCUACGUUUAAAGGUGAAUCGAUAUCAUUAUUAUGAUCUUAUCACGAUAUAUAUGCAUAUAUGCAACAAGCAAUAUAAAGUGAUAAAAUAUCAAAACAUAAUAAGCAAAAAGAAUGUGUAUCAUAUCACGCGUGCCAUCACUCACGUGAUUGGCUUGUAGGGCACCUAUGACUAGCAUAUCAUGUAUGUUAUGCUAUGUAUUAGGCCAAAUAUAUCAUAUGCUCUGAGUGUCACGAGUAUGUACCAUACGAAUGUAGGCUCAUAGCACUAGAAAGCAGUAAAAUGUCCUUAAGUACUUGAGAAUGACUAAGGAUCUUUUACUAAUAUACGGAGAAAGUGACCUUAGGGUUGAGGGCUACACGGAAUCGAGUUUUUAGUCUGAUGUUGAUGAUAGCAAGUUUAAUUUAGGGUAUGUGUUCACCAUGAAUAGAGAAGUAGUAUGUUUGAAGAGUUCCAAGCAAGAUACCAGCGAUGAGCUGAUUCCCUUAUAUUGUGAUAACGUUAGGACGAUUACUUAAGCAUAGGAAUCUAAGUCUCAUCAAAAGUCUAAGCAUGUUCUAAGAAGGUUCCACCUGAUCUGAGAGAUCGCAGCUCAAAGAGAUGUAGUAGUGGAAAGAGUUACAUCUAAAGAUAAUAUCGUAGAUCCACUAAUAAAGAUAUUGUCUUAGAUUGUCUUUGAGCAUUACAAGUGUCUUAUUGAAAACAAACAUGUAGGUGAUUGACUUUAGAUCAAGUGAGGGAUCGCUAGUUAUAGGUAUCAUGUUAGCCAAUUACGUGAGUGAUGACAUAUGUGACAUGAUACACACUCUUUUUGCUUAUUAAUUAUUUGAUAUUUUUCUCAUUUUAAAGUGCAUAUUGCAUGCAUUUUGAUGUUCAUUGAUCUAUGCAAUGGGAAUCAGAUCAUGAUGAGAUCAUGAUAAUGAGAUUGAUUCACUAUUAAACAUAGACCAUAAAUAAUCCCAAUCAUAGGACACUCAAGAGGGAUAUCGAGAUGACUGAUAGACUGAUGUGUUAUAUACUCAUCCAUAUGAUAUAGGUGGCUGGUCUCAUAACUGCUAGUGUAGGGACACUAGCGACACCACGCAUGUGCUCAUUGGAGAAUGAGUUCACUGAUUGAUCCACUCAUGAAUAUUGGAUGGUUGAUGACACCUCAUUAUCAUACAGUGAUUCAGUCAUCCCAAUGGUGUAUAUGGUCCUUAGACUUAAAACACCAAGGAUGUCAUGUAUAAAUACUUCACUCUUUGAUUCCCAACUUAUAGACCUAGAAGUUUUAAAUCUAGCACAACCGGUCAUCGAGAGUGGUAGUCAAUAUUACGAGGGCUAUUUAUUAUCGAUAGAAGAUCAUCUAUACUUACUAUUAUGAGAAUAAUAUCUCUUUUUUUUUUUCAAACAAAUCCCUAACCAAGGUCAUUCGGAUUGAGAAAGAAAGAGUUCUCCGGGAGAAUCCAAUUAGAGCGAGACUCGAGUAAAAACCAUAUGAGCAUGACAGCACCAUUCCUAAUAUACGAUUUAUGGGAUAUUAGAUGGAUAAAGGACUAUAGAUAUAUGGUAACUAAGAACAGAUAGGUUCAAUAGAUUGGAUUCCCCUAUAUCAUCUGGGGAUUGCGGUGUAGUGGCAUCGUACGUCGGUAGUUGAUGAGUCGAGUGAAUUAUUAUAAAGAUAAUAAUUCACUAAGUUAGAAGGAGUUCUCUUAGAGACAGUUAUAGGUUGUUAGAGGUCAAGGGAAAGGUUAUUAGAGGCAAUUAUAGACUCUUAUGCAUGUGGGCAAACGGGUGAAGGGUGACAUCCAUCUUCUCCUUCUAUCUUGGAUACCAUAUAGUAAUCACAUAUCGAAUAAUUAAUUACUUUAAUAUACAAAUGCUAUUCCUGGUACAAUAUCGAGAUUAUGUGAAAAAUAUACUUAAAAAAUGUCUCUAUUGGUCUCAUCAACACAUAGGAUGUACUUAUGCUAAAAAGAAAAAAAAUACAAAAUAAAACUUAUGCAUUUCCCCCUCAACAUGUUAAAAAUCUCCUAACAUACUAAUAAAAACAUAAGAUAGAAACAAAAAGAAAAAAUAGAAUCACAAAUUUAGGCUCAAACACAUGAUAACAUAAUUAGUAAGCAAAAACUGAGCCUCGACCAAGAAUUGGCCCAUGUAGAUAUAAACCUAAAGUUAUGAUUUAAUCAGCGUUUGAGUGACGUAGGACUAACUUUGAUCAUGGAAAGAUAAAUCGAUUAAAGUAGGAAGAAUCAAACGUUGGGCCAAAAUGGAUCAUGUUAGAGAUUGAACGUCAGGCCAAAGGAUUAGUUGACGUGCUAGAAGAUAGACUUCGUGACGUGAGUUCGGGCAUCAGCCCAGAAGGAUCAGAUAUUACAUCAAGAAGAUCAGAUGUUGCAAGAGAUCAAUGUGCCGAUGGAUCAAGCAAUACGCCAAAAGAGAGGAUGAUGCGUCGAAGGUUCAAACGAAGCACCAGAUAAACCAAUGACAUGCUGGACAACAAAGGAUUCAUAUUUAUAAUCGAUUGUGUCAUGAUCAAAGUAGUUUAAGUUGUAAUUGAGUUAGUUUUGGGUGUGACCAUACUAACUCAAUUAAAGGCUCAUUGGGCCUAAAUCAGGACUGAUUUGGGCUUGCUGAAAGACUCAUUCAAUGACUUACAGUUAGGUCAGGUGGUGGCACUACUAGACCAAGCGGUGGAACCGCCUAUGAGCUGGAAUGUAUGAAGUGCGUGUUUUCCGAGGUGCCGUUAGUGUCAGGCGGUGGUACCGCCCAAACAUAGUCCCCCAGACUAUGUCAGGUGGUGGUACCGCCAGUGCACAUAGUGGCAAGUGGUGGUACCGUCGGUACCUCGAAAAUCGGAGAUUUGAAUUUUUGACUCCAUUUUUUGAAGUCAUUUGGAGUCUAUAAAUACCCCACCUAUUUUUUGCUUGAGAUAACAAGAAAAAGAGUAAAAAUGAUAAAUAAUUCUUGAGAAAAAAAGAAUUGUAAUAUCUCUUGAGUUAUUGAGUCUCUUUCUUAGAGUUAGAAGUGUUCUAAGGAAGGAGUAAGGUCCAAUUGUAAAAGAGAGGUGUGAAUAUUCUCUCUUGAGCCUAUGAAAAUGAGAAAUAAUUGUAACAAGAGUAGUUGAUCUCGUCCGAUGAAAGAAGAUCGUUAGUAAAAGUCGAUGGCCUUGACGGAAGAAGAAUCGGGAGUGAAUGUAGAUCGUAAUAAUCGAAUCAUUAUAAAUUCGAUUUAUAUUUUUUUAUGCUUUUCAUUCCUAUUACAAAUUAAUUUAUUUGUUUAUUAUUCUUAUGUAUAUUUUAAGUUAAAUAUAUUUUUAAUAUGAGUUUCAUCGAUUGAAUUUUCUUAAUCCUUCGAAAGCACCAAUUCCUCCUCCCCUCCUCCCAUUGGGAGUCGAUGUUGAUCAAAACACUAUUAAUUUCAUAUGUGUUAUAGUCCAAUAUCCUUCGUAAGACAAACAUUCAACUCUUGAUAGAUUUAGAAGUACAUCUAAAAACUUAUAAAACGAAUAUUUGUGACCUGUAAGUGAUCAGAUUGGGCAAACUUGAUUGAGCGAACGUAGUUAGUGUGUUGUGUCUAAGAUAUCAAAGAAAAAGUAAAGGGCAGAGACGUUGAAUAUUUUUUUAUAUGUGUAAUAUAUUGCAUAAUUUAUCCCAUCAUUAUUAUUACACGCAGAGUGAGAUCAUCUUUAACAUCGAGAAAUGUAAUUAUUUGAAGCCGAUGAUGAGGAAAAACUCCCUUUAUAUAUUCGGCAGUUUGUGCCAAGUUUCGCACUCAUCUAUUUUCUGACUAUUAACUAACAUCGAGAGAAACCAAAGAUAAAAGCUAUCACAAUUUAUAUAUUUCAAUUAGAGGACAACUGAGGACAAGUUGAUGUGAUACACCAAAUCUAUCUUUUGAAAAUAUCAGGAAAUAAAAGAUUAGCAAAAAUAAUUAAAAGUUUAAAUUUAUUUUUAAAAAAAAUAAAAACGGUGAAAUCGAAUUUUGAUCGUAGGAUAUUUCGAUGAUCUGAUAAAGAUUUUACUGACCGUGCCAAGGAGCACAAAAUUAAAGAACUUAAUAUAUCAUGGUUAAUUUGUUUCACAGUAAACAACGAUUCUGAUAUUAUCGAAUUGAUCUGAUUCAGACACUAUCACUAACUAUCAUUCGAUCUUGGAUGAAAAAACAAAUAAUCCUCUUUAAAGAAUUAUUUAUGUAUCUUUAACUUGAACUAACUAUAAAACUAACUGCAAUCACAUAAACCGUCGAUAUCUUAUGAGGCUUCUUUGUGGAUGAACGCUUCUUGCCUCUUAUCUUUGAAUCCGAUAAAGAAAAAAAGAAAAAGAAAAUGGAAGCAUGGCAUGAGAUAAAAUUGAACCAAGUUUUUAUUUCUUUUCAAGUAAUUAUGUCUGAUGAAUUCAUACGUUUUGCCAACAAAAAUAAUAACAAUCAGAUAUGAAGAAUAUUUAGUCGGAUUGUGAGUUUAAAUAUGAGAAACAAAAUUGGGAAUAUAUUUGGAGGCGUUGAUUCCUUAUCUAUCCUACGAAACUAACUUGUUUGAAUUUAAAUUCGCCAAGCCAGAAAAUAAAUCAAUUUUUUGCCAUCAUAUUUGGGUGAAUAUUCGUGGGGAGUCAUAUUUUUUAUAAUAAAGAAAGAUGGAUUUAUUUGACGGAGGUUCCAAGCGCAACUGCCUGUCCGUUUAACGUGGAGCCCGCCCACGUACUGCUCUGUAUUGUCCAAUCACAGGGCAGGUGACGCACGGGUACGUGACUGUCGGGUGGCGAAAGUGCUUUGUAUCAGGAACUGAGCUGGGUAUCUUUUCCGGGCUGUUUGCAUUGGGUCCGGAACGUCGCUCGGGACCGAACCACCUCUUCUAAACGCUGCUCCCUCGACGGAGUCCGUCGCCCAAGAAGAACCUUCGGACAUGGAGGACGACGACGAGUUCGGGGAGCUUUACACCGACGUAUUCCGCCCCAUCGCCGACUCCCCUCCUGCCCCCUCUCCCGGGACUCGCCCUGAUCCCGUCGUUCCUGCUGCCGACGACGAUAUCGAAGGCGGCGACGGGGACGAGAUAUUGUUCGGCGCCUCUCGUUCUUCCCCCGCCGCCGAACUUCCAUCGGUCCCUCAUCACGCCCUAGCUCCUCCCGCCGCGGCCGCCGCCACCGCCGCCGAAGACUACGGCCAGCGCGAUUGGAUGCUUGGUCACGCGCCUCCCGUGGUGGAGGCACCGGAAAAUUGGGACGACGAAAACGACGGCGUGGUCUCCAGGCCGACAGAGGUCGUUGCACCCAUGGCCGAUAAGUGCGAGCCUAGGGUUUUGGAGGAUGACGAAGAAGAAGCUAGGGUUUCGGAGAUUCCAAAUGGGGAUGGUAAAAUUGGUGACCCUGAGAGGCUUCGAGCCCCAAAUGGGGACGGCUAUCCAUUGUUUGGAGGUGGAGUGGUUGAAAAUUUAGGCGAUCCGGACGAAGCUCCGGUCAUUCCCGGCCUCUCAGCUGAACCAGCCCCUUCCGGGCCUCUGAUCGGCAUGAACAUUGAAGAGAGGAAGCCAUCACAAAGUGAGGAUUGGGACAGCGAUAGCGAAGAUGAUCUCCAGAUCGUGCUGAAUGAUAGCGAUCAUGGACGGCUUGGUGUGGACAGGAAUGAUAGAAUUGGGAUUGAUGAUGAUGACAGGGAAGAUGAUUUGGUCAUUGUCACUGAUGAGGAUCAGCAUCGCCACGUCCCGGCUACGGAUGAGCAAAACUGUGGGGAGGAGGCUAUGCAGUCUACUGGCGAUGGGGAGAGAAAGGAGAUGGUGGAUGUGGCGAAAAUUGCUAGUGCUACCGGAAGUGCAUUGGAGGCGAGGAUUGGGUACAACACUCAUGGGUCUCAUCCACAGCAUCAUUCAAUGUACAAGGUUAAUUCUUAUCAUUCAUCCUUGCUGUGAGGUGGAAACUGUAGGUUUGUGUAUUUUAGCUUUGGCAUUGUUACGUAUUCUUAAAUUGUUUAUUAGUUUCUUAUUUGUUAAUAAAUGAUCGUGGGUGUAAAGCUAAAGUCAUUUUCACAAUUAUAAAUGUGAUGUCUUUUGUGCUACAUGCUACAAUUAUAAAUGUAAAGUCAUUUUCACAAUCAUCAAUUGGUCAUUCAUGGAAUGAGAGGGUAAACAUUUCCAAUAGGUUGCCAAAGAAGGAGCAACGUACAGUGCAAGUUCAGGGCACCUCAGUUAUUGUUAACACCUUCUUAUUUUGUUAUUCAUCUUGCAUUUGCCCAGAUUUUUCUUGGUUCGAUAUAACGGGCUAUCUUUUUGGCAACAAUAGGAUAUGUCCCUCCUACGGGAGUUAUUUUAUCAAAUUGAAGUAAAAUAUCUGAAAAUGUAUAGCAAUUACUAUCAGUUGGAUUAUAAAUUAGAGAAUACUUGAGAAAUAACAUUUAUUUUUGCUAUCAGAUAUGAUAACUAAGGCUAUAUAUUUAAGCCUAAUGUCUUGUAAAAUUUUCUAACUAAUGUAGCAACUCCUGAGCUUUCUUUUGAGAAAUGAAUGAUAUAUUCCUUAACUCUUGUAAUUUGUUCAUUCAGGUUUUUCCCUGCUGAACAAAGAGAAUUUGUGUAUCAGGAGUCAAUAUAUAUUGUUGUUAAGAAAUCUGGGCCAUUGUAACUGUACCUUUAUUACUCUAUGAUCCAGCGUCAUCUAGCAUAACAUGCUUUGAUGUAUUAAUAUAUGGUUCAGGUUGUUUCUGGAUUGAUAUCUAGAAAUCAAUGAAUAUUGGAAGGUUUCCCAUUGUAGUUCAGUUGAUCGAUGUGAAAAUUCUGUCAAUUCUCAUAUCCUGAGUUGGUAUCAUGAGCCAUAUAUUUUGUCUUUGUGCUUUGUAAACAUGAUUUGGAAUAAUGCAAAUUUUUUUCUACUGACACUGGCAGACACUUUGAACUUGAUAGGAUCGAAUGAUCAUGGAUGACAGGCCUGCCAGUUAUUUUAGAUGGAUAAAUUUAUAACGAGUCAGAUAGUAGCUGCAGAAAUAUCAUGAUCAUGUGUGUUUUCACUUUUGUUGUCAUGGAAACCACUUUUAGUGUUGUGUAUUUUCACUCAGUUUUUGUCCAAUCACUCCAAACUUUGAUGCCAAUGUCAUUGUCUGUUGUCAUAUCUUUAAUGGGUAGGUUGUCUUUAUGGCAUCACAACUCAUUAGCUAAUUUUGGUUUGUUUCUUAUGCAGUAUAUAAGACCUGGUGCAGCACCUCUACCUGGGGGCCCUGCUGCUGGGACAGCUUGUCCUCCGGGCGCUGCUCGUCCUCCUCUUAUCUCAGGUCCCCUUUCUGGUGGAGGAAGAGGUGAUUGGAGACCUGCUGGUGGCAGGGGGAUUCCAAAUGGGCCCAAAGGCUAUACUGGCUUUGGUUUCCCUGCUUGGGCCAAUAGUUCAUCCCGUGCUUUUGGCAGUGGACUGGAUUUUACCCUUCCUGCUCACAAGUAAGCUUGUCAUUUGCACACUCAUUUUUGUUUCUUCUAGGAUCUUAGUUUCAAAACUUUGAACCACUUUGUCGUUAUCUUUGCUGUGUAACCAGAUGAGUAAUGCAACUUGUUGUAUGUUGAUCCUUGGUAAAACCUAACUUUUCUGGAAUCUAGAUAGGCUAGCAACAUAUUGUGAACAAGUAUGUAAUACCUUUUCAUAUAUAUGCCUUUUAAUGGAUGGUCUCCAUGCGAUUGUCCAUUGUCUGUUUGAACUUGUGAGAUUAUGUGAGAAAAUAGACUUUUACUAGAAGUUGAGGAAGUAGAAAACUUUAAUUUCAGACAGGGGAAUCUUUUCUUUUUUGUUGGCUUGUGACUAAAGUUGCAAGAGACUUAGAGGAAGUAGAAAACUUUAAGUUCAUCUCACCGGCAGGAUUCUGUUAACUUAUAACUGAAAUUGCAAGAGAAUCAUUUUGCUUUUUAUUUAGAAAUACUACUGCAGGUAUGCAUAUAUCUGUUUACAAUUAAAUUACAUUAACACUGACUGGAUGUCUGCCUUCAAUGUAGGACAACCUAUCCUCAUCAAUAUUUCUAAUUUGAUGCAUGAGUACAAUUAGUGCUCAUCUUGGCGCCAAUCACCGAUCAUUAGAAUCACUGAACAAAAAACAAAUCGUUAAAAUUGGCAUUUCGUAAAAUUUUCACUUUCUUCAGAUGUUCAAGGGGAGUUGCUGGUGAUGAAAUACAUCAUAGAUCCUAUCAUGUUAUGUGUGAAGUGGUAAAUUGAGAACAAGUGCGCUGAAGAAAUAAUUAGAGAUGGAAGAAGAAGGAUGAAAAUGCAUGGGAAGAAACACACUUCUGGUUGAAAAUAUAUGGACUAUGUAAUUUCUUGGUCCACAGGGAAAGUUUGUUGGGUGAUAACCAUGAUUAGGAUUUUGCGCCAUCAGCAAAACUUAGUUCGAGAUUGAGGACUUGAUGAGCUAUCAGGGGAUGUUGCAGAACUUGCUUCUUGGUCAUUCUAGUUUAUGUUUUAAAGUCAUGGAUUCCAUUUGUGUUUGACAUGUGAUAUGUGCUCGCCAUAUAAAGCAGUAACUUAUUAGGUGUACAUUUAUAGUUCAAAUCAUCUUGCUUUUCAAGUUUCUACUAAUUAUGCUAAUUAAGCAGGAUAGCACGCUCCUGCUGAAUUUUUAUUCUUUUUUUGUGGAUCAAUCUUGUCAAAUCAAAGUUGUGUGCAUGUGAACAUACCUAAUCCUUACAAUUCUGAAUGAACUCAUUUGCCUGUAGAUAAGAGGCCAAAAAAUUGAAAGACUUUUUCACUUAACUAUCCUAUCUAUCCAAAUCAAUUUUCAAUCCUCAGGUCAGUUUUUGAUGUUGACAUUGAGAGUUUUGAGGAAAAACCGUGGAGACAUCCCGGAGUUGAUGUAUCAGAUUUUUUUAAUUUUGGUUUUGAUGAAGACAAGUGGAAGGAUUAUUGCAAGCAGCUGGCAAGUGAAAGUCUUGUUGUUCAUUGUGAAUUAUUUAAGGCAUUGAUGUGUUGUUCUUAAUUUGUGAUUGAAGUUUUGAAUUCUCAGGACCAACUUCGUUUAGAGUCAACCAUGCAAAGCAAGAUUCAUGUCUAUGAGAGUGGCCGAUCAGAGCAGGUUACGUAUUUAUAUCUGCUGGAAUCAUGUUUUAGCUUUAGUUGUCAAUAACUUAUAACUCUGCUUUCAGGAGUAUGAUCCAGAUUUACCUCCCGAAUUGGCAACUGCAGCAGGCCAUCACAAUAUUUUUGCUAAUAAUGGGCAUAAAAAAGCAGAUGAUGGGGAAGUAGAUUUUAGUAACCAAGGAAGAGGAUCAUCAGUUAUGCGGGCACCAUUGGUAUGAUCUAUUGAUUCUCUGAACUACUAUAUAGCAUGGGGCUGAUGUUUUUUAUGGUCUUCAAUUGGUUUUUUAUAGAACGGUUUACUGGAUGGAACUUUAAGGUUUCGUCUUUUUUUUUUUUGCUUGUUAGCCAACUGGGAGAGCAAUACAGGUUGAAGGUGGUUAUGGUGAGCGCCUACCCUCUAUAGAUACCAGGCCUCCUCGCAUCCGUGAUGCAGAUGCAGUUAUUGAGGUAACUUUGUGAUAUCUACUUCCAGAUGUUCGUGUGUAUAUCAACUACCAUAUUCUCAUUUAUUAUAUGUACGACUUGUGAUUGUACGACUUGUGAUGGUUACCAAAGUAACGAUAUCUACUUCCACAUGUUUGUGUAUAUCUAAUACACUUGUCUUAUAUGUGAUGUGUAUUAUGUAAUACUUAUUAAUGAUAUCAACAAAUAAAAUUCUUGUCGAACAGAUUGUGUUGCAGGAUUCAUUUGAUGAUCCAAAAAUGUGCAACUGUGCCCCAGAGAAACACAAGAGUGUUGAAAGAGAUGAUGAUAAAUGUUUUCAUGAAGUUAAAAAUGAUGAUAGAAAUACUGUCUCAGGAAAUAUGAGGCACUUUUCACAUGCUUCUGGCAAUAGGAAUAAGGAAAUGACUAGAAGAGCCCUUUCUGCUAAGGAAAAAAAUGAAGUGUUGCUUUUCCCUUCGGAAUCUUCAGCUGAAUACCAUCAAGAUUCAAGAACAAGGAGCCCUGUAUCUCCUGCUAAAGCACUGGGGAUACACCAAAGCUGCAGGUAAAUUGUACUUCAAAAGAAUUUAUGUUCCUUUCAAUUUGUUUUGUAAGCUUCAACUACAUGACAUUUUUUAUCGCUAAUUAGCAAUAUCCAGAAAAACAGCAGGGAGAAAAAGAAAAACAAAAAAGUACAGCAAAGUUACCAUGACACGACGCUUGCCCUCAGUAAAGAAAAGAGAAAUGCAUGUGGAAUUUUCCUCUGCAGUUCAUAUACGUAUAUUGUGUUUUUGCAAUAGUUUUGGUUUGGCAUGAUAAAAUUCGGCAUGCUCAGUGCCGGACCCUAAGGGGUUGUUUUCCUUGUCAGUUAGAAUUGCUGUUUCCAAUAUACUUGGGUUGUCAUAAGAAGGGUUUGACAUGAUUGGUUUUGGUAGCCAAGGAAGAGGACCAGCAGUUAUGCGCAUUUGAUGUGAACUCCAUUCCUUAAAUUCAUUUUCUUUGCUUAUGAAAAUAGUCGAAGCCUGAGACAUGCCUGUGCCAUCUAUUGCAUAGUUUGCAGCAUGUGCAUUCAGCAUUUGACUACUCUACUGCAUCUACCACUCUGGAUACACAAGCAGGAAAUCUUGAUGUUUGAUGACAUGGACCACAACUUUGAGCAACAUUGUCCAGUUACCUUUGUCAGGUCCAAAUAAGAAUAUAAAGGCUUUUGAUUGAUGGAGAAGAAACAUAUUUCUUUUUCUAUUGUAGUAUGUAAUAACAAUUUAAACUGAAUAAAUUAGAUAGAAUUAUUCAAUUAUAGAAGCACACGUUUGGAUGUUCCUCAAAGCUCUAUUCAUUCAGAGAAUCUGAGAUUCUGAGAAGUUGGUGAAUGAUAUUUGCUUUAAGAAGAAAUUGAGGUGUCUCUCUGAAAUCCUAUGAGAUUGACCCAUUGAUGGGUCUUUGAUAUCAUGAUGAACUGUUGGCACAAGUCCUAUCUUGUCAAUUUGGUUGAAGGAGAUGGGGGGCUCAGCAGGAAGAGGGUAUACCAUGAGAGACGCAAGGAAGUUGAUAUGACUCACAUAUAUUAUGGAUUCUACCAACUCAGUUAGCAAUACAUGUGUGGAUUACAUUUUCUUGCACAUAGUUGCAUGAGUAUUAGAAGUCACUUGUCAUAUCAGAUUAUCAGUCUUAUGCAUCUGUGAAUGUCAUUAGCAGUAAGUUUAUAAAGCCACAUCAGGUAAAUGGAGAAAGAAACUAAUUGGAAGCAAAGGAGCUAUGUCUAGGAAUACUGGCAAAUUCUUAGAGUCAUGCCUUUUGACCAAUCGUCAGGCUUAGUGGAUCAUUGAACAGUGAGUUGGUAAAAAACAAGUCAUAUGCUUUUUCAUCCUAUUCUCAAAUUAUUUAGGACACUGGACUUGAAAAAAAAUGUAAUUUGAUGUUACAAAUAAUUAUUUGUAUUUUUGAAUGUGUUUUUUCUAGAUUUAUCUGAUGUGUAUGCGUUGAUUUGCUUAAGAUACUGUGUUUCUGGAUACAUACUAAUGUGGGAUUGCUGAAUUGAUACCUCAGGUUGCCCCAGGGAUCUUCACAUAGAAGAUCCUCCAAUGGUCGUGAACAAUCUAUUGAUGGCAUCCCUAGUCCAAGUGUCCACUCAAACAGGCUUGGUGAUGAGGAGGAGACACAGGAUGAUAGCACUGGAGUUGAUCGGAGUUCUGGAAAAUCAUCUUCUGUUGCUGAUGAUACUGUAAAAGAGCUGAGUGUUGAUGAGCAAUGCUGUGGGCAUGAUGAAAAGCUUACACCAGUUAGCAUUGAAAAUGAAGGGGAGGACAUGGUGUCAGACGUACAUAUUCCUAAUGAGACCAGCGACAAUGAUAAAUUAGUUCAAACUGGCAAGAAGCAAAAGCUUUCAUCACUGGUUGAGCAACCUGCAGGGCAUGAUAGUGGUCAUGAGGAUGAGUUGCAAACCUCAAAUAGUGAUAACAGUAGACAGAAAUCUGGGAGCAGUAAGGAUUAUCCAAAGCAGACUGAAAAUGGUGAUAAAGUCAUACAAGAAGAACAUUCAAUUCAGGUGGGUCACUUAAAAAGACCCCACAAAGAAGAAUGUUAUUUGCGACCAAAAGAUGACUAUGGUCUGGAUGCUAGACAAGUGAUGAAGAAAGAUUACAUUGUUUCCAAAGGAAAGGAUGAUACAUCUGAUUCUUAUAAGCACCCUCUUCGAAGUAGAAGCUAUGAGAGGAAAAAGGAAUCAGAAUCUUCUAUCAGUUCUUGGCAAAGAAGAGAGGACAAUGUACACAGUAGAAGAGUCAAAGAUGAAGACAGGAGGUGGGAGAAUAGUGAUGAAAUGGUGUCAAAGCACAGGAGCAAGUUAAGGGUGACUGACAGAAACCCGAAAGAAGAAGAUCAUUCAAAAAAGCGUGUAGAAGAUAGAGACUGGAGAGGGCAUAAUAGGGAUGACGUCUUAUGGCAGAGGUCAAGAGAUGAUCUUGUGAGUCGUCAUGAAAGCACAGACGAACCUCUCAUUAAAAAGAAAAGGGAUGAAGAAUAUCUAAGAGGCAAAGCUGACAAAUUAAGUACUCUGCAUGGUUAUAGGGAUGAAGAAAAUUCUGGGAGAAAGAAAAGAGCAAGGGAUGAUGCCAUAGAUCAUAGGAGGAGAGAGGUUGACACUAGAAUGAGAGAUAAGGCUGAUGAUCACUUAUCUUCCAAUCAUAAAGAUGAUAACUGGCGCUAUAGGGAGAGAGAGGAUAGGCAGCGACUUAAACCUCAUGAAAGUGCACCGAUGCACCGGGAAAGAGAAGAAGGGCGGGGGUCUGUAAGGAGUGGGCGGGCUAUGGAAGAUAAAGCAUCGGGUGGUAGUGCUAGGAAUAGGGAUGAAUCAAAGACUAUAGUCCAUGAUAGUAGGGUUCAUCAAGAGAAAGAAAGAAGGCAACUUAAUGAUCAUUCAAAGAGGGAUCAUGGUAGGGAAGAUGAUGUACAAAAUAAGGGACGCAGACAUUUAUCUGUGCGUGAAAAAUAUUCAAACAAUGACAGAAGAAACUCUAGGCAUGAAAGGAUGAACACGUACAAGGACUGCCCUCCUAGUGCUGAUGGCAAGCAGAUGUACAGGGAAAGACACAAGGAAAAUACAAGGAAAUCCAAAGAUUCAGAAGCUCAUGAGCAGCACAGCCAGGGGCUUGGUAAGAGAAAGCAUGAAGACCGCCACACCGCUCAAACUGACAAGGUAUGCUUCAGAAUAUUGAAGCCAUAUAUUAUAUCUUUUACUGAUGAAGUAAGCCUCUGUAUCAAUAGAAGAUAAAGAACAAUUGAAAUCUUUCCCAAUUUGGUCAUUGUCACGAAACAGCAAAUUUUUAGAUUUUUUUUUCCACAUCAAACAAGCAGAUUUAAAUUGAAGAUGCUACUAUUACCUUGUCGAUAUUGAAGGUCUGAUGACAUUGUAUCUGAUGACCAUUGUUUACUGUUAAUGGCCUGCAUUUUCCAUCUCAGGAGUUAUUUGGUCAUGGCAUAUCUAUUAUUUUUUUGUAAAAUCUGUUUUUCGUUUGUAAAUAGUUAUGCAUAUUUAUUGGUACUUGAAUUGACUCGCACAUGCACCCGCAUUUGCAGCUGCAUACUUCAUAUGGAUUUUAAGUGCAUUACAGUCAAUUUUGUCACACUUCAGGUUUCUUGUAGUUUAUGACAUAUCUUUGUUCCUCCCUUGUGUGUGUUAGUGUUUUUUAUUGGAAAAUAUGAUUUGAAAUUCAGAUACAAUCAUAGGUUGCUAGUCAUAUGAUUCACAUCCAAUCGAACAAUGUUGUAAACACUAAAUAGAUUCAUCGUAUUAAGUUAUUAUUUGGGCCAAGUAGAUUCCCUCCCUUAGGAAAGUCCCUUACUGAUGGUACGCUUGCUUGCCAAUUGUUCACUUUUCUCAGGUCUAUAUUAGAAGCUUAAAUGAGCAAGAAAGUAACAACAUUUCCUCCACCGAUCUCUCCAAGGAUCCCCACCAAAUUUAUGAAGAACCGGAGGCCCCCCAGCAAAAGAAACAAGAGGAAGCUGAUCCUGCCUCAGAUGAAGAGAACCAGGGUUCCAGGAAGGGGCGAUCAAAAUUGGAACGCUGGACCAGCCACAAAGAGAGGGAUUAUGAUGCCACUGGCAACACACACACAUUAUCUGCUUCCUCAGGGGUUAAGAAAAUUGAAGGCGAUAAUGUUGAUGUGGUGCAGGCAGAUGAAGGAGCCAAAACUGAAUUUAAUAAUGCCGGUGAAUUAGAUGGCAAGGAUGUUGAUGGAGGCCAAAUUGUGGAUAAGACGGUGGAUGAGCCAGACCACCACCUAGACACUAUGGCUAAGCUUAAGAGACGAAGUGAGCGCUUCAAACUUCCUAUGCCUAUUGUAAAGGAGACUACAUUGAGCAAAAAAUUGGAAAAUGAAGUGCAGUCAUCCAAUAAUGAAGCUGCUCUUGAUUCAGAGGUAAAGCCAGAGCGACCAGCUAGGAAAAGGAGGUGGACUGGUAGUAGUUGAUUAUGGCUCCUUGAGGAGAUCAUGCCAAUUGUGCUCUCAUGAAGCAGAUGGGUGAGUUAGCCCUGUGUUAUAGCUCAAGUAUCAUCACUUCCCCUACACACCCUUCCUCUUCUCCUUACUCCCAAGCGUAAAGCAAGUACAUGAGAGGAAAUGGGUGUGUAACUUAAAACAUUUUAGAUGGUGGUCUGAGGUUUGUACUUCCUUUUCCUUUUUUUGCCCUGGUCAGCCAGCAAGUUCCGAUACCGGAGGUUCCUUCCUGUUUGAGGGGGCUAGAAAGGUUUUCAGGAUAAUGUUUGUGGAGUUUUUGAAGCUAACUGAAGCUGCAAUCAUGGGAUGGUAGAAUUAUCUGACAUCCUGGAAGACAAAGAUAUUACAAUAUCUGAAGGGGGUGGAGCAGCAUUGCCUCUUUUAUCUUAUUUUGUUUUCAUCUUUACUAUGAUGCUCCUGAAGACGGGUGGGAAGGCAUCAUUGCUGGAAACUGAAUAGCUGAUGCUGCCAGAGAUCAUACAUUGGUCAUGUGCUCAUCUAAAGUGUCCAAGUCGAGGAACAAGAUCUGUAAAUUGUGGGCGGUUAAAGUCAGAUCAGACAAGUGCAGAUCUGUGGGUCUUCUAAUCUCAUUGCUUCUGUUCAUAAUCGCACAUUGGUGAUUGACGUGCUAUGCAGUUCGAGAGGCUACCAGAUGCCUUCUUAUGAUCAUGAAGACCUAGCUGCAAAGGUUGCAUUGCAGCAAAAAGAAAGUUCCCCUGAAACUAAUUCUACAGAGUGAUGAUACAUCGAACUUUUUUUACUUAAAUUCUUCCUUUGGCCCUACGAUGCAGCGUCAUAUUCUAUAAUCGUAGAUAGAAGAUCUUGAAGACAAUGUCCAUACUCGAAAAUUAUUCAACGGAGAAAGGACAUGUAAUAUCUUCCCUGCUUCUGUUUUGUUCAUUGACAAUUGUAGUUAGGUUGAAUGUAUUGGUAAACUAUAUGAGCACCUGCCCGAAGAGACAUACCAUACGGUUAGACAUAAAUUAGGUCAUCAAUAUUGAGACUGACACUGAAUCCAUUUCCGAUAUGUUUGACUUGCUUACUGUGGCAUUUGUUUGUGAAACUUUCUGCUUCAUCCUCUUCUUGAUCUUAGAUCGAAACAGGUUUUUUGUCAAUUUAGAUAAACUAACUUGUACUGUAUCUUCCUAGUCUAAUAAUUAGUCAGCUUAGUUAAGGGCAUUAGCCUAUUAUUGGUGUCCUUUUGCAUGUUCAGUGGCCAUAACAGCUUUAUUAUAAACUUCCAAUUUGGCCAUCCACUGACUUUACAAAACUUCCUCACUUGUCUUAUGCUGACACGCCAUAAUUUCUAGCUCCAUUUGCCAAGGCAACUUGCAAUAUAUCUCAAUAACAAUUCAAUCAUGAUGAGUAUCUAAUGGAACGACAUUUGUGUUAAUAACAUAUUCAGCAGCAUCAUGGAUGCCCUAUUGCCAAUUUUUUUAUGUUUCUGAUCACAUGCUAUCCUUGCUGGUGAAUGAAAUCUAGCAAACAUUGCACGGAUGGACAACUCUGAAGCCUCGGGGAAGGUUUGCCACCACCUGGCAUCAAUAUCAUAGAUCCUUCACGUUCUAUGCACUUCCAUGUUAGUCGUUGAACCCUUCUCCUAGAUUGUAUAACUGCACAUCAUGUUGGAAUGGGCAUGUCAACAUGGUCUUGUUUCUUUGACAAACAACGCACAACCGAAGCCUUGGCUACUUGGUUUGCGCUGCUCCGUUUGGAUGCAUUCGAUUGAGUUCCAGCAUUCUAUUUCUCCUUCAUGGAUAUGGUUUCAUUUUGUUCGACUCCACGUAGUUAAUAUUAUUAAUUGAAUCAACUCACGAGGCUAAGCCAAUGCUUACUAAGAACUUUUGUCAUGAUUGUAGCAAGUUUUAUUUGCGUUCUUUAAGAUUGAUUACACAUGGUCUCGACUUGAGACUCUUGCAAGCUAAUUAAUUAUUGCCAAUGACAUGAGGACAGGACCAUCGGUUGCAUGCUUCGUUAUUGCAACUCAUGGAUCUGUUAGCCUAGAGUUAGGGCACAACUGGGCUCUAUAAAUAACUCGACAACUUGUGACUCGUACGCUUACCUCUCAUCUUAUUUUAACGUAUGAUCAAACCCCGUCAAGUCUUAGAGGAGCCGCCAUAAAGUUUUGGCAAACAGCACGCAAAUGCCGGUCUUCUCCCUGAGGAAACUUAUUUUAUAAUUAUGCUUAUUUGUCUCGACUGAGUUGCUGUGUUUCUAUUUAUUUAUUGAGCCUUGCAUGGUGCUCGAAUAUCCUUUUAGUGUCAAAUGUUUUACUUCCAAAUUCAUCUAUCAGAGGUGAGAGUUUGGUGGAAGAGAUAUAAGAUAAUAUUUGGAAACAAGUUUUCAUAUAAUUGCCACACUUUAGGACAUGAAUCCUUAUCCGUCUAUGGGGAUCAAGAUAGUCUACCUAAAAGUGGUAUUUAUUUCAUCUUUUCAUAAUAGUAUUAUAUUUUUAAAAUUAUUAAUUUAGAUUUUGAUUGUUCGAUGAUGUGGAUGUUAAUUCAGAAUCAAUCAAGAUUUUUUUUUUUUUAUGCAUCUCUCUUCUAUGAGUGAUGUGGUGUUAGGCGAAUAAAAGUCCAAAUGGAAACCUGCAAAAAUACUUAAAAGAUGUCUCCGAGAAAACCUCUCGCAUGAUUAAGUUAAUUUAAAUUUGACUUUGAAUGAUUCAGUUUAAUGUCGAAUCUACAUGAGCAUAAGUGUGUUGGAAAAGUGAAGAAGUACUUGAGAACCUUUUUAUACUUCUUAUUAUAUUUCAGGUUGUAGUCAAAUAUUUGAAAUGGUUGUAUUUUCUCUUGUCAUUGAUGCAAUCAUGCUAUAUCAAACUAACUGACUGAGUCGAUCAUGUGAUUGGCAGAAUACUGAUUGUUAUGUCAUCCUCGGAAUGAUAAUGUGAUAUAAUUCACGUCAUAACGAGGUGUUGGUCACAUGACGAUAAGGUAUCGAUCAUAUAAAUGUUAUAUCGUUUAGUGUUAUGAUCCUCGUAUCAAUAAUAUAUCCUUAAUAAGAAAUAAGAUAAAUAAAUUAAGUGCAUCUUUUUAACAAUCUCUGAUUUUAUGAGGUGACUGAAGCGAUCAAAUAAACUUAAACAGUGUGCAGCAUGCUUUUCAUUAAUCCGUCUUAGUGUGUGAUAAUAUCAUGAUGGAUAGACUUUCCAUAUAUCUGCCAGCCACGAAACAACGUGUGCUUUUACCAAACAAGGCGUGACCAGAGAACAUAUAGUGCGUCAAGUCGUCGGAGGACGAUUCCACCAGAAGAAUCCUUACCGUGCGAUGCAUAAACACAUGGCUUCUUUACUAGUUUAUCACAUACCGUCUUCGUCUUCAUAUCUAUAGUCAACAGCUGUUUCUCAUUUACUUGUCUUCUUGGUUGACAAUUAACAGGCUACUGUGUGUGUACAACAUUGGUUCUUCACCAAGUCUACCUUUCUCCUUGAGGAUUUGCUUGUUUCGAUUACACGAAAGUGACAUCUCUCGAAAGCUAUCUAUCUUCGUCCCCACCCAGAUUCACCUCAUAUUCUUCACGUGUUAGUUGAAUGGCCUACUCCAACUCUUUUCAAUGCUCUUAUUCUUUGCGCUUCUUACGGACCAAUCCGGUUGGGGAAGCCCGAUGAAUAGAUGGAAUUACUACAGACUUUGGACGAAAAAUCUUUGACCCCGCGGGAUGUCCGCCCAACAAACGAAAAUUUAUAUUGGGAGUUUUUCGAUACGAACCCUCUUGAGGUUGGAGCAGAAUAUGAGGGAGUCGUUUCAUCUAUCUUUUUCGAAUUAACUUCUUUUCAUUUCAUAGAUGGGUCUAACUAUGAGACGAUUGUCGAUUCAAUUUUAGGAACGAAUCCCGAUCGAUUAGGUCAGGAGGAGUGUUACGAUGCGUGGUGAUGAUCGUCGAUGAGAGGCAAAAGGGAUUCCGAGAUGAUAAACUCAUUCUAACUAGUAUUCCGACUUGUCCAUUAAAGAGUAAUGUAUGUUUGACUUGCAUAAGGUAGAUUUGAAGUGCCCCGAGAUGGCCAUGAUGGUUUGGUGGUGGUAAUAAUAGCUGAAACGAAGGCGCUUGUUUCCAGAGAAGUAGCUGUCAAAUGGUUGGCACAUGGGACAACCCCUUUUUCCCACGUGUUUCACCAUUAUACUUUUCCGGCUGCACAACACAACAAGCUCCUUAUCUUUUCUGAAAGCGAAGGGGAGGGUGAGGAGAGUCCACGCAUCUUUCAUGGGACCGACCGAGCUCAGCGAGAGAGAUCCAACAUAGCAGUCGCCUUCCCUUUUCCCCUUGUUGAUUGCAAGAGAUCACAGCCGAGUUCAUGUGAUCCACCAACCUCAGCGCUCGGCUGUCCCUUUGUGGAGUUCAGAUUCUUUCAAACGCAAAUGAUAAUUCCAACGUGAUCUUAAGAUGUCACACACCCUUACUCUGUUGUCCCAACUCCCUCGCCUAUUCUAAUCUGGAAACGAUAAAAGAAUUCCUCUUCAUGGGGCCCCAUCCCGAAUUGUCAAGGUUAUCUGUAAUCGCAAGAAAUCUGGUGGAGAAGCUCUUCUUCCGAGGCAGCUGAACCGAGUUUUGCAGACGUGAACUCUGUUGCCGUUUCGGUGAUGAUGAAUAACGAAGGCAGGCAUCGUGACGACGGUCGUUGUGACAGUAAUGAAGGCAAGCUUUCGAGUGGAGGAGAAUAUGACACCACUGUCUGUUCACAUCGAACGUAAUCAUCACUUCAUUUCAUUUACAAGAAGCGGCAGAGCAAUUUCAAUAUGAUCGUGAAGUCAGCCGAUUUCUUCUCUUUUUUUGAUGCCCAGAAGAUAAGUAGUGCAAUUUCAAUAUGAGAUCCGCUAUCAGGAACAAGUUAACAACCGAGAUCCUUGAUAUCUGGAGGUACCCGACACUAUCCGCAUUAGCAAACGAAUGCAAUGAGAUCGCAAUAUCCAAAGCAGACGUAUGAAACAUACAGAUGACGAAGAGGAACCGGUCUUCUCCCUCGGGCAUCUGAAGUCAGCAGUAGGUCAUAUCUAAGUAUUUUUGGCCGUCGAAUCGAAUGGUGGACGGUGGACGAUUCUGUGCAUCCAGCGGCUGCCACUGUAUGCGGAAAGCCAAGUGUCAUCUCAAGAUGAAUUGUUGUUACGGGUGGUGGCGUACACUUCCGACCUAAAUAGUGGGGUGGACUGAAGACUUGCUUGGCGGUAUAAGAAGACCGCAAAGCCUUCAUGAGUACAGUGACCGGGAAAAGAGUCGAGAUGUUCACACGGAGGCUCUUCGAGUAUAUGAGGAGGAGGAGGAACCAACUAGGAUCGUUGAAACAAGGAGCUUUUGGAUAAGGUGUAGACACAGGUUUUCCUUCAUCCCCUUCUGCUCCCGUAUCCCGUGUUCUUUGAUUUCAUGGUCUUGCGGUGUCUGAUCUAGGUUGUUCUUCGUCGUACAAGUCGUGGAAAUCUGAUCUCGGUGUUUUCUGUAAUGAGAUCGAUGCAGGUUUAUUGCGAGGCUUCUCCCCUUUUGAGGAUAGAGCUAUUCACAGGCUAGCUUAGACCUUCUAGGUUUUCUCAUCGUCUGAUGACGAUUCUUUCUUAUAAGAAAAUAGAUGGUUUUGGGGGCCUACGAGCAGCACUUCAUCUCCUUUUCUUCUUCUAACAUCUUAUUUGUAUUCACAUUUUUCUUUUCCUUCAAUUAAUUUUUUUGAUCGGUAUCCUUUUUCGCACACAUAGCGAAUGGAUCGAGCAAGAUUCGAAGGCGGAUUUCUGUUUACCUUUUGUUGACACUGGCACUAGCAAAAAUUUUUAGCUCUAUUUCUGGCUAACCUCAACAAGAGCUUCAGAUUUCGGACGUAUUGCAUGUUUAAUUCUUCUUCUUGAUUUAGAUCAUGUAAACGUUAUCCUUUCGUCGAACAGACUGUCAUACAACUGCUCAGCUUGAGCUUGUCCUCGGUCGCAGAUCUCUUUGUUUUAUCAUAGAGAUGGAGCAAUCAUCAGGCCAAUGGCCGCCACCUGAAGAAGUGAGUACUGACAGUACUACCCUCUCAGGACCUCAUUAAUCUUAUAAUCCAUGUGUAUGUACGAAUUACAACUGAGUGGUCAUGUGUGAGGUUACUGUCCUGUAUAGGAAAACAGCGAUCUUUCCUUCAUCUACCAGCCUGAGAUGAAUUCUCUGGACAUGUUCACGGCAAACCAAAUCAUGGAGUCGCUUGGUGAAGAGCUCCAUCAUCAUCAUCUUCCCUCGGGGUCUUGCUUCCCCUUCGAUUCGGCUGGGAGCAGUGAGUUCAACAACAACGCCAGCGGCUCUCUCGUGGGGAUUCCAUAUGGGACGCGUAUGACCACCGCUGUUACCAACGAGCUAGUCUCGGUUGAGGCACCACAAGCCUCCCCCAACUUUCUCUCGUUUGGUAAUCAGGAUUCGUUGCAUGAUCCACCGCAACUGUAUAUGAAUUCUGGCAAAGGGGUUGUGGAGCCACAGAAUGAGAUCACAAGCCUGUUCUCUCAUGGUUCGACAUGGAGUGAAGACACUCUCGAGUUCCAAAGACAGGAGAAGAAGAGCAUGGGGAGCAGACCACCUUCUUCCGCUCAAGAUCAUGUCAUUGCUGAGAGGAAACGGCGAGAGAGACUUAACCUGCAGUUUAUAGCAUUAUCCACGAUUAUCCCCGGAUUAAAAAAGGUGCUGCUUAUUCUUUUCAUCUCUGUAUAUGUUGCUUGAUUCAUCUUCUUGAAUCGUGUUCUUGUUGCCACACUGUGAUUCUUAGGCAACCUACAAUAUCAAUGGCUAUGUUGAUGACCUUACUUAUAUAAACUCUUCUUUCUCAUGAGCAUUAUUUUAUGCGUUGCAUAAAUGAUUCCCAUGAAUGCAGAUUGGAAGAAGAAUUAGAAACUAGCAAUGCGGAAGGACACUUAGGAAAAAGCUAUAAUGCUCAAAGGAAACAAAGCAACAUUGGUUGCUUCUUCUUAGAACUAUAAGCACUGAUGCAGUUCAGCGGAUCUUUUGUUUGUGUGGCAUGCAGACCGACAAGGCCACUCUCCUUGGAGAUGCAGUCAACUACAUCAGGCAACUGGAAGAGAAGGUGAAAACGUUAGAAGAGAAGGCUUCGGAGAGGACUGUGGAAUCCACCAUCCUUGUCAAGAAGACUCACAUCCCCACCGGUGACCACACCUCAGAUGCCGAGGGAAGUCCUUUUUCUGAGGCCUUUCCCAAGAUCACGGCCAGUUUGAAUGGGAACUCCAUCCUCGUGAGGGUUCAGUGCGAGAAGCGAAAGGGGCUGUUCGUGAAGGUGCUCUCCGAGAUCGAGAGGCACCACCUCUCUGUCAUCAACACAAACGUCAUGCCGUUUGCUUCCUCCUCUCUCAAUAUAACAGUGACUGCACAGGCGAGUCGAUACCAUUUUCUUCUGCAUUCCUGCAAGUUGCAGUCCUGACAGGAUUAUGCUUAUCGUAUCUUUUGAUACAGAUUGAAGAGGGAUUCUCGAUGACGACGACGGAUCUCGUGAAGGACAUAGACUCAGCUCUUAGCCGGUCCAUGUGAAGAAGAAAAUACUCCACAAUCUCUCGUUGCUGUUCCAAGAGAGCGACUAUUCUUCUUCUUUUAAGCUUUCUUUGUCCCUUGUAAUUACGAAGGAAAAAGGCUGAGCUAUAUGGGUAGUUUAGCUUCAGCUGCUAUUCCGAUAAGAACCAUCUGCUGUAUCCUCCGACUCCUAGAAUUCACAAAGAGGAAUGGAAAACGGAAGCUUCUUCUCUUCAGAGGCUAUAUAUAUUAAAGAGUGUUGCGGGGAUAUGGACUUAUGUGUGGGUAUUAUGCGUGGAAAUUACUUCCGAUUCUAACUUAAUAAAUAGGUUAAGUUUAAUAUAGGGAAGGGAGAUGGAUGCUUUGUUUUUGACUUUUGAGUUCCUCCUACACAGCGGUCUGUGGAUGAGAGAUCAUUUGUGUAUAGGCCGCUAUUGGGUCAACCCAACUUCCAAUUGGCUAAUGGAUUUUGACCAAGAUCUCAUGUACGCUUGCAAAAGCUAGAUUGGGCUGGGCUUUAUCUCGAAUUAACCCAUUAAGGUUGAAGGCCCACUUCAUUUUCUAUGAUGCAACUUCCGAUCCGUUCAUGGAUGCUGAACUCCAAAUGGAAGCUGCAACUCGAGUGUUUCUUAGAGUUUCAGAAAAUAAUUAAUUCAUCGAAUAUUUUGGUUUCUUAUCAAUUAAGUCCAAUAUAAAAACAAAUUUAUGAUCUAUGCGACCUUCGCAAUACUCUAACCAACUGAGUUAAACGAUACGAUGCAAAAAAAUAAAUUUUAAGAACUUUAUUUUUUAUUUUUUCUAUAUUAUUGUAAGAUAUUAUUUUGAGAGCUUUAAGUUCAGGAAAGUCUCGAGCUGAGACAGACAGACUGUUGAAUCAUUUAGGGUUUGGAGAAGUUUAAUGUGUAUCAAAAGAAUAGUUUUUGUUGCUUUUUCGGUGUGCUCGUCUGUUCCUCUGUUGGCAUCCUAAAACUUGCCCAUGCUAACAUCACACUUCUUUAUAGGGGUGGGUGGAGAGUCGGACUAUCACAAGAUUCAGAUCAAACAUGCCUCCUCUGUUGAAAGAGGUCAGACCGGAAGCGAUGCAGAUAAAGCCACUACGAACAUGCUUGUUGCCUGCCUUCACAGCUCUUUGGUCUGGAGAACUGACCUAAAAGAUGGGGCCUGUGCGACCUCAGCUAGAGAGGACAGGCAGUUACGUCGCAGAGCUCAUCGGGUUCUCACCAAGCUUCUGAAGUCAGCGAAAGCUAGUGAGGAGGAUGGCGUGCACUGCUGAGCGAUCUCACCAACUCACUCCUCCCUUGUCUCAUUGCAGUUCCAUCCUAAAGCUUUCAUAGCGUUGGUUGGAUUCUUGUUAACUCAAUCUAGCUUUAAAAAGGUGUUACGGUUUCCAUCUUCUUCAGGAUGAGAAGUGCAGCUUUCAUGCACUUGUGAUUAGUGUGUGGAGUUUUAAGAUAAAACUAUAAAUGGCUUACAAGUUCAUUACCAUUUCACAUGGAAUACAACACUAAUGGCCGCUGCAUUGAUGGCUCUUCUGGAGCUAUUUAAUGUGUGGUCAGCGAUGGCACUCAGAGAACAUCGUAGUUCUCCUCCAAACAUCUUCUUUUUUUUUUUCGCCUCCUCUCCUGAUCCUAUAAUUUAAUCUUACAACAGCCUGCUAACUCAAUAAAAGCCUGAUCGAGAUGCAUCAAAAAAAGAUGCAGAUCCAACCAUGGGGUACAGUGCCAAAGUCACCAUCUUCUCCUGCCUUGGUAUGCGCCAUUUGACCCACCAUGGCCUGCAUCCCACAGAACUAGAAGAUCAACAGCAUCCGGCAUUGCAAUCGACUCUGCUUUGUGUUUCCUAGAGCUAUUUAUCACGGCAAAACGACAAGCGCAUCGAGCAAUCGACCCAGUUCCGAGACACCAUGAUUUGAGCCAUUAAUUGGUUCGUGUUUGAUUUCUGUAGACGAAGAAGAAGAAGUAGGAGAAGGUGUACAAGCGUUGGAAACAGGGAGACUCUGGGAUGGUGUGAAUAAGCCACGCACCAUCCAAAAACCAGGAGACAAGAAGAUCGCCAUUCGAGACUGUUACACUCUCCCCGAAUCCAACCCUCCCUCGCUCCCCAACAGGCACUUGAUGAGCUUUAAUAAUCACCACGCUGACAUAAAAAUUAGGAACUAUUUAAGAAUUGGUUUAAUGGCAACAGAGGAGAGAAACUGAAGCAGAUAAGAUAAACUAAGGGCAUAAUUAACACAUAUUUAGCAUUAGCCUUGGGUAAUUAAGACAGGCUCGAAACCUUGCUUGUAUUCGAUACAUCAACCUUCCAGAAAAUAAAAAUUAGCGUAUACAGCUAUCUGGAUCUUAGCCUGUUCCCAUCCCUAUGAAGUCAUUUUGAGAUCAUCCGUGAGAUAAUUUGUUCUGGGCACCUAAAGAGUAGAAAAAGCUAUGUGUUGGGUUCAUAUGCAACAAGGGAAAGCCAAGGGGAGAAGGGGUGGCCUUUACUGUUCUAUUGUAUCGAGGAAUAGCGUCGAAUCCUGUACAUGGGGGACCGCGAGAUGGCCGGAGACCACGAGCCCUGUGAUGUUGUGGUAGAAGUAGUAUACAUAUGAUUUUGUGGAAAUCGAGGCUUCGGACUUGGGUUUGAGGGCGACGACUCGUGCGGUCGAGGGAGAGCAGCCAGUGGAAGACGACGGAGGGGCUGCUGCGGCAUUCCCUUGGCUAUGGCCACCGCCUCUGUGCACAAAUUCUGGCUCAUCGAAACAGGCUGACAGCAGCAGUCUGUGGAGGUUCGUCGUCGGCAUAUUUCAAGUUGCCAGCCUCAUGCAACAGUUGCGGUUGCAAACGUCGGAGAGCGACAGCUGAUGGAGUCCUUCCUGUCUUGGAAACAGACCGUCGCCAGUGGAAGUCUAAGAAACAAAAUUACCGUCACUUCGAUUAUCUCGGACUCGAUGGCAAUGAUUGACGCUGUUGAGAUCAUGAAGCUCUGCUCUUCUCCAAAUUUAGUGUAAGAUCGAUCAUGAGUGCCGAUUCACUUAAACCGGCAGAAUCCUGCAGCACUGCACCACAUGUUGUUCCAUUCCAUUGACUUGGAUGGUAACUUUCAUGCCCGGGGCACCUCCUCCGGAACUCAUCGAUAUGCCGGCUCUCUUGCAUGCAAAACCAACCGCCUGCUCUCUGGUUUCCACCACCACUCGUCUCUUUACCUCUGACCUCCCUCCCCACCAUACUAAUUCCCCGUGCCUUCUGCUGCUACGGAGAGUAGAACAGGUCCUUUUCUAUGCCACGGCCCCACAAGAUCUUUAAAAUAAUUAUAUAAAACCCAUCAAUUCCCGAAUAGAUAUUAUUUAUACCUCCAUAAAACCUGCACCCGACGCUCCCCACUUCCCCCAAGAGUUCAACAGAGGCGAGAGACAGAGAGAGAGAGUAAUGGCGUCUCUCUACUGCCGCCGCCACCGUCAGCUCCUCCUUAUCUUCCUCGUCCAUACUAUCGGGUCAUUGGCGGCGGCGGAGGAGGCGCUGGAGGCUGACGCCCUCCUCGCGCUCAAAGCGGCCGUCUCAGACCCCUCUGACGCUCUCUCUGCCUGGAACAACUCCGCCUCUGGUGGCCAUUGCUCUUGGCCGGGCGUCGCCUGCGACCCCCUGCGGGGCUUCGUCGUCUCCCUCGACCUUACUGGCUUCAACCUUUCCGGCACGCUUUCCCUGGCCGUCGUCCGCCUCCGCCACCUCCUGAACCUCUCUGCAGCCUCCAACUCCCUCUCCGGUCCCAUCCCCGCCGAGCUCUCCCGCCUCUCCAACCUCCGCCAUCUCAACCUCUCCAACAACCUUUUCAAUGGCUCCUUCCCCUCCGCCAUCGUUCGCCUUAAGAACCUCCUCGUUCUCGACAUCUACAACAACAACCUCACAGGGCCCCUCCCCGCCGAGGUCUCCGAGCUCCCCAACCUCCGCCACCUCCAUCUCGGCGGUAACUUCUUCUCCGGCGUCAUCCCGCCGGUGUUCGGCCGCUGGGAGUUCCUCGAGUACCUCGCUGUCUCUGGCAACGAGCUCGGUGGCCCCAUUCCGCCGGAGCUCGGCAAUCUCACCCGCCUCCGCCAGCUUUAUUUGGGCUACUUCAACAACUUCGAGGGUGGCAUCCCGCCAGAGAUCGGUGGCCUCCCGGAGCUCGUUCGCCUCGACAUGGCCAACUGCGGACUCACCGGCGAGAUCCCGCCGGAGCUCGGCAACCUCCAGAACCUCGACACGCUCUUCCUCCAGGUGAACGGUCUCUCCGGAAGACUACCGGUGGAGCUCGGCCGCCUCCGCAGCCUCAAGUCCAUGGAUCUUUCCAACAACGCUCUCACCGGCGAGAUUCCCUCCUCCUUCGCCGACUUGCAGAACCUGACUCUGCUUAACCUGUUCCGAAACAAACUCCACGGGUCGAUUCCGGAAUUCGUCGGCGACCUGCCGGCGCUGGAGGUGCUCCAGCUCUGGGAGAACAACUUCACCGGUGGGAUACCCCGACGGCUCGGCCAGAGCGGACGGCUCCAGAUCGUAGACCUCUCGUCGAACAAGCUCACCGGGACUCUGCCGCCGGACCUCUGCUUCGGCAACAAGCUGCAAACGCUCAUCGCCCUCGGUAACUUUCUCUUCGGCCCUAUACCGGAGACCCUUGGCCGGUGCGAAUCACUCGGUCGGAUCCGGAUGGGGGAGAACUAUCUCAACGGAUCGAUUCCUCAUGGACUCUUCAGCUUGCCCAAGCUCUCCCAGCUCGAGCUCCAGGACAAUCUCCUCACUGGCGGGUUCCCAGACACCGGCGCCGCUGCCAUCUCGCCGGACCUCGGACAGAUUAGCCUCUCCAACAAUCGUCUCUCGGGGCCGUUGCCACCGUCCAUCGGCAACCUUACUGGCCUCCAGAAGCUCCUGUUGAACCAGAACCAGUUCUCUGGCCGUAUACCGCCCGAGAUGGGGAGGCUGCAACAGCUGUCCAAGUUGGAUUUCAGCGGCAACCGGUUUUCCGGCCCGAUAGCGCCCGAAAUCAGCCGGUGCAAGCUUCUAACUUUUGUGGACCUCAGCAGGAACGAGCUCUCCGGUGAGCUCCCACCGGAGAUUGCCGGAAUGCGGAUCUUGAACUACCUGAACUUAUCAAGGAACCAACUCGAAGGGAGCAUUCCGGCUUCCAUCGCCACGAUGCAGAGCCUCACGGCGGUCGAUUUCUCGUACAAUAAUCUCUCCGGCCUCGUCCCUGGUACCGGCCAGUUCAGUUACUUUAACGCGAGCUCGUUCGUCGGCAAUCCCGAGCUCUGCGGGCCGUACCUCGGCCCCUGUAGCUCCGUGACCAAUGGCGACGGCUCCACUCAUGCAAGGGGGUCACUCCCGGCCUCCUCAAAGCUGUUGUUGGUUAUCGGCCUCCUCAUCUGUUCCGUUGCCUUCGCCAUGGCCGCCAUCAUCAAAGCGCGAUCUCUGAAAAAGGCAAGCGAUGCCCGAGCGUGGAAGCUCACUGCAUUCCAGCGUCUCGACUUCACCUGCGACGACGUCUUGGACUGCCUGAAGGAGGAGAACAUCAUCGGAAAAGGCGGGGCCGGCAUCGUGUACAAGGGCAUCAUGCCCAACGGCGAACGAGUCGCUGUUAAGCGGCUCCCGGCGAUGAGCCACGGCACGUCGCAUGACCAUGGAUUCUCGGCCGAGAUACAGACUCUGGGAAGGAUUCGGCAUCGCCACAUUGUCAGGCUACUGGGUUUCUGCUCGAACCACGAGACCAAUCUCUUGGUCUACGAGUACAUGCCCAACGGGAGCCUCGGGGAGGUCCUUCACGGUAAGAAGGGUGGCCAUUUGCUCUGGGACACCCGGUACAAGAUUGCGGUGGAGGCGGCGAAGGGUCUCUGCUAUCUUCACCAUGACUGUUCGCCGCUGAUCCUGCACCGGGAUGUCAAGUCGAACAACAUCCUGCUUGAUUCGAACUUCGAAGCCCACGUCGCGGACUUCGGGCUCGCCAAGUUCUUGCAGGACUCCGGUACCUCCGAGUGCAUGUCGGCCAUCGCUGGCUCCUAUGGCUACAUUGCUCCAGGUACUUUCUGAACUCCUGUACCGCAUCCAAUAUUCUUAACUAUUUCUGAGUUCUGUUCUUAGAAUGUCUCCGAUUCAAAGUGACACGCUGCAUCAAACUGUAGUCCUGCAUGGGGAUUCCAUCGAUGAUCCCGUUAUGGGAGUCGAUAGGAAUCCCUGCACGGAAAAGGUUCAUUUAGGCAACCUCAAAUAGAUUCGUGUAGGCUCAGCAGAUGCUUUUUUGUUCGCGUGCUCUGCUUUCUCAUUCUAUUCGCAUUGGAUGAUGCAUUCCAAGCAAGUACCCGGUCGCCCGGCCUCAUUAUGAUAGUAAAGGCCCUUUCCAAUCGCUUCAGGUUAUGAAUCAACCUUGGGAUGUAGAAUACCCUAUUCUUUUCUGAGAACUGAAGCAACAUUGCUUCAGUGAUUGGACUACUUACUGGUGGGUCGUUCUUUCUUUUCUCCUCCUCUAAUUACCUGAGCCACUGUUGACUUUCUUACUUGGUACCACAGAAUAUGCAUACACGCUGAAGGUGGACGAGAAAAGCGAUGUGUAUAGCUUCGGGGUGGUGCUGCUGGAGCUGGUGACAGGCAGGAAGCCGGUGGGCGAGUUCGGGGAGGGCGUCGACAUCGUGCAAUGGGUUAGAAGGAUGACGGGAUGCAACAAGGAAGGAGUACUCGAGAUUGUGGACCCCCGGCUUCCCACGGUUCCCCUGGACGAGGUCAUGCAUGUCUUCUACGUCGCCAUGCUGUGCGUGGAGGAACAGAGCGUGGAACGCCCGACGAUGAGGGAGGUCGUCCAGAUACUGACGGAUCUCCCAAACCCAGCUCGUAAACAGGGAGAAGACCGUGAGGCAGCCACCAAGGAGCAGCAGCAAGCAGCAGAGAAGCCGCCACCACCUGAUCUCCUCAGUAUUUGAAAUGCCCGGGUGGUUCCGAAAAGUUUCUGCUGGUCCUGCAAAUUUUGAGUGCAUCUGCAUCUGCAUCUGCAUCGUCUUCUUGGUCUGGUGCUGCCAGUGUGUUAGGUGAACUCUGUUGUACAGCUGCUAGAGUGGUGGGGCUUAGGUCACUGGUUAAUUUGGCUUCAGCUCUUGUUUUUGUUUGUGAUCUUCACAUGCCGUUGCAGCUGCUGGUGCUUUAAAUGUGUAGAAGAGCUCCGGUCCUCUUUUGCUUGUUAAUGGAAAUUAGUAGGGAACGAAGGGUAAACUAAGUAUAUGAUCAGAGCCGGACAAUGUUCUUUGAAGCCUUUAAUGGAGUGAGAGUGUGCUCUUUAUAUUAGAAGGAUGAGUUCCACCGACGGAUCGUAUGAGGUUUAGAAAUCCUAUCAAAUCCGACCAUUUUUCGACAUCGUAUGCAAGAAUGUAAUACUGGUAACUAUGCAAACGUAACCGGUUGCGUGUGAUCUUCAUCUUCCACGUGCCAUGCUACAUGCAUGAAGAUGUCAUAUCGAAUGCUUCAAACACAGUACAGUGCUCUGCAACCAGAAGAAUCGCCGGUUCACAUGUCACACGUAUGAUGGAGGGGGUGAGUGCUUCCCGUGUCUUGUGCACCACUGCCUUGUCACUUCAUGCACCUCUCUUCCGCAACGUAAUCAACAAGCAAGACGAAACAACUCUCUCUUCGUUCAUCUUUUCUGCCUCAAGCUUUUUGUUCUCUACCGCGCAGAGUCACCGCAGAAGCGUUCGUGCUACGAUCUUCGUGGCAGUCGGUCUACUGAUACCCUGCUGCACUUUCUCUGUAGCGUGCGAGAGAAAACCUGCAGGCCUUCAUGGCUUUAAAAGGAGAACAGGAUCUCACGUACAGUCUAAUAUGGUGAGCUCCCGGGAGUUUAGGGAUCCGCUUCCUCUCGGUCGACGACUGCCCUGUUCUUGGUACCCUGAUGGGCUUAAUUUUCUGUUCAAAUAAGAAACAUCAUUUUUACUGUCUUUUUUAAAUAAUUUUUUUUUUCUUUUAUGACUAACUUGGGUACAAAGAGUACGUGGAUAAACUAGAAGCAAACAGUGCCAAGGGCGUUCUUAAUGGGUCGAUCCUCGUUCCAAACCCUUGAAGCCCGGUAUUCAUUCCCGGAAUUAAGGGACUUGUUCUUGUUCGAAUUGUUUAUAUCAUAUCAUCUUGCUACGGAUCGUUGACGGUGGUCCAAAAGGAGAAGAGAAGAAGGAAAGCACACUGGAAAAUGCAUUAUGGUCCUGCGAUCUCUCUGCAUGCACUUGCAACUCCCCACGUGCAUGUACUUGGCGCAGGCAACGUAAGCAGCUUCAGCGGCUUACCGUAAAUGCUGUAAGCAGUGUCAGUCUGCUUACAGACACCGAAAACAAUUUGGACAAUGACGCAUCGCAAUUACACUCAGAGAACGCACAAUCCAACCAGAUAGUGUCAUUUACUAGUGUCGCUCGAUCCUGAUCCGAAUAUGCGCGAUUAUCCUGCAAGGUCCUUCGGAGACGAGGCGAGAGAGUAUUUGAAUGGGGACGGCCGACGGCAGUUUUGAGAUGCCUCCAAACUGCUGUGAUUUGUCCGGAGGUGAGUUUGAUCUUUUCGAUAUCCUACGUUCGUAGGUUACCGUCAAAAGAUUUUCGAUGUAAUUCUUUCUAUGUUUAGAUUAAUAUUUUUUAUGUAAUUUAUCUAAUCUCGUUUGAACAUCAGGGAUCAAUUUUUAUAUCUAUGAAGUCGAUGGGAUGGGACGAUAGAGACUACACAUAUAUCUUUAUUUAAUACAUUUAUAUGGAUAAUCAUUUAUUGUAAUCUCUAUAGAUUGGUUCGUACAAUCUCUUCCGAUGUAAAUCGACUCGUAUGAUCUUUUAUGAUACGAUACCGAGUCAUAUGAAUCCUUAUAAUACUAUACUAUACCGAGAAUGUUCGAUAAAAUAUCGCUCGUUGGAUCAUAAUCAUUAUUCACAUUAGGUAGAUAGGUAGAUGUUUCGUUAUUUUUCACAUCAGCUCCUCGAUUGUUAUCAACUGACAUAUUAUAAUUAAUAAUAAAAUAUACCCUAUCGACUAGCAAGAUGAAGUGCCCGGUAUUCUCCUACAUUAUUGUGCUGUAGAACUGUACGAAGGAAGAGACGAAGAUGAGUAACUUGUCCUGAUCCUAACAGAGACACCAGCACAACCAUCUGCGAGAUUUGCUACGUAAGCCGUAAGAUACUGCAGGAAGAAAGGAUUGAGGGGCCUUGAUCUGUAGGAGUACUGCAUGCAUUUAUGAGUUGACGUGUGAGUUGGUGUCUACUCGUAGGGCAUCAUUAUAUAUGGAGACCACAGUCUCCGUCCCUGUCCUCAUUCACCUUCUAGUCUUCGCUGUCCAGGCUCUCUGCUAGGUUGCCGGAUCGAUACAAGAUCGACGGCAACAGUGGAUACCGCACGCGAUCAGCAAUCCGUGCCGUUCUCAUGAACAGUCUCGCCCACCACAUCAGCCUUGCUCCGAAGGCAACGAGAGGGGCUCUUGUCAGCGUAUCGCACUCGGCCACGCUUGAUUUAUUAGGUGGAGAAAAGUGAAUUUGCUUUGUCGAAUUUUAAGCGUAAAAUACUUCUAAUAAGAAUCUUUUUGACGAGAAGUCAUUCAUAGCUCGAAAAAAAAGGAAUAAACAUCUAUAUUUAUUUAUUUAUUUACAUGCAGAUAGAUAUACUUGUAAAGUACCUUUACAGUACAUGAUUGAGAUUAAAAAGUUAAACGUAUGACAAUUGUAAUUGAUGUUUGGUGAAAGCCUGCGGAAAGCCGAAAACAAAGCCUUCAACAAGUAUAAUUAUGAGGCCUUCCAGUAUUCAACUAUCGUCGGUGUUAGAAAGUGCACGUGAACCUCUUUCCAUCAAUCUACUUUAUGAUGGCACAAGGAAUAAACUUUCCGCGCCCUCGUCCUAUCUUCGCAUAAAGCUCGAAGCAAAGAGGAGAGACAGCAUGUUUGUCAUGAUUCAAGAAGCAGGAUUUCUUCGUUCCAAGUGACGAGUGCUUUUGGUUUGACCCAUUCGAUCCCCGUUACUUGAUGCUAUACUUCAAAGAAGAGAAGAAGAUCCAGUGUUAUCGAUGACUAUGGUUAAACAACAAUGGUAGAGAGGGGCCUUCAAACCUCAGAAGAUUAAACCUCCUUUGGCACUCGAAGACAUUCUUGCUGACUCGGUUGCUCAUGUUCUUUGUUUCGGUUCGUAGGCCCCUAUAAAGCGGAAGCCCAUUCGCAGGAACCUAGACAAAGAGGAGACGGCAGUAUCUUGGGGCAGACGAGGCAUGUGAGUCAGGAGGACACAAUGGAAGAGACAGCAUCUGGCUGAUGCACUCCCCACCCCUUCCCAUGUCCUGAGAUGUGUUAAAAGACUCGAGGACAGAGAAGAGGAAUGGGCUCGCAUUCAACAGCUACCGAGAACCAGAGGAGGUGUGGCGAUAUGGACUCCAGACUGUGAUUGCUGUCACAUUCUGCGUCAACUUUUCUUUUGGUGAAUUGUCCUUCAAUCAUUCAAGCAGAGACCCAUUCAAGCUUUGAGCUCUCGUUUUGAUCGACCCUUCAGCCCCUGCCACUGCAAGAGAGAGAGGAGGAAAGCACUGCGUGUUUGUCGCCGACCUGAUUCCUGUGCAUGAAGAGGACAAAUAGAACAAACAUUCCAUGGCUGAUACAGUGAUGCAUCCAAAACCUUUCCUCGCUUCAUCGCAUUGGCAAUCUCCGUCUACUUUAGUCGAUUCUAACCAUUCCCAUUCCCAUUCGAUGCUCAAAUCCCACGUUGCUCCCCAGAUGCUUACAAGAAGACACCGACUCAUUUCCUGUUAAUAGAUUCCUAACCCCAUCCGUAUACUAACUAUAUUGCCUCAUAGGCUACAGAGAAUAGAAAACAAAGAUUGUGCCAUCUACUCUCUUUGGAUCAAUAAAUGAGACACUUGCGAGAACUGAUGAGCGAGCAUUAGAAAGAGAAGUACAUCAGAUGGAGUUGGUGUUGCCAUGUGAAUUCACAUGUCCUCUACUGAAAAAGACUUAGAAUUUGAAACACCUUGGUGUUACAUCACUGUCCAUAUCCAAGUCAUUCUUGAGACAGGGUUGGCUCUUACCAAUCGACCAUUUCCCAAGUUUGAGAUUGAGAAGAUGUAGCAGUAAAUGAUUCAGAAUCCAAGAACAGAUAUCGACAGGUCGGCGCGGGAGGCUUUCACUUUGUGUUACGUUUGCCUCUGCGAAAGGCCUUAGAGUAGGAAAGACGGGCACCAGCAAAGCAAAGAUUCCAAGAAGAGGAGCAGCGCAGCGCUCCUUGCCAAGGACCAGACUCCAAGUAGCUCGUUCCCACGUUGAAGUACUACUACGCCACUGAUAUCAUCAGGGAGGAGCAUCCGAGAGUCUGAUUCGUAAGGUUAUCAACUUUUUUUUUUGGUUUUUUCUGGGAGUCAUACUUGAACUUUCUCCCUCCCAUUCCAGCCAAAGACUUGGAGUCAGAUCAAACUUUUCUAAUUGAUGGCUCUCGUCCUAAUGCUUUGAGGCAGUGAAAAGUGGUUAACAUCUUAAAGAGUAGCACUUUAAAUGCCCACCAACAAAACCUCAUCUUCCUUCUCCGGUAGGCUGCAUUGGUUAUGGAAAAUAUAUUGCUCGACUGUCAAGGCCAAUACUGGGUUUUGAGUACUUUGAGACCAAAGACUAGGAGAGCAGACCAUGCUUACCUGUCCCUGCGGACAACCACUAGAGAAAGCAAUGUCAGGACACCAUGAUGAACGAUGAUCAGAACACUGGGAAUCAACAUUUAUUCUCGGGAAAGAAGAGACCUUGAUAUAUCUAUGAGCCACAGCUGUCGACGAUGAAAUGUAAGCGGAAGUACCAAAUCAGUCUCUCUGUCCAGGCCUUGACUAUCAAACGAGAUGAUUCUUCAGCUCAUGAGUCUGCCUUUGCCAUGAAGAUCCAUCAGCUUUCAGUUUAAUGACAGUGUUGUUUGAAAAUUAUUCGUUAUCUAAAUAGUUAUCAUAUUUUAAAUAAUUAUAAAUAAGUAUUAAGAAAUGAUCUAGAAAUUAUAGAGUAGUUCCUAUACCUAACUCAUGGGUGGUGAAAUGAUGUAGUUACCACUAAAUCCUAUAAAUAUAGUUCUUGAAGCAAGAUAAGAAGUAUUCACUUAGAAUAUCUUGGAAGUAUUCUAUGUCUUUCCUCUUGUUUAAAUACUAUAUCGAUUUUCUUGAUCGAAAUGAUUCUUUUUAAUUGCAUCGUAGUAUUCUGUUUUUAUCAUUUUCUUGCUCGAUCCUCAAUAUUUAUGGUAUCAGAGCUCAAUUUCAAUCUGAACUGGGCAUUAUGACUUUCAAUGAUAAUUUAAUAUCUCAACCCCUUAUUCACAUCUUCUCGGAUAAAUAUGCUAUGAAUUUUGGAGUAUCAAGAUGAAGACUCUAUUCAAGUCUCAAGAUUUUUUGGACUUAAUAGAGAAUAGAUAUACGGAUCCAAAUGAAGAAAUAAGGCUGAGGGAGAAUAGAAAAAAUGACUUAGACAUUAUUCAUCAUUCAACAAGUUGUACAUGAGAUAAUCUUAUCAAGAAUUACAGUAACGACAACCUCAAAACAAGCUUGGUGGAUAUUUCAAAAUGAAUUUAAAGGCUCAUCAAGGGUGAUUACAGUAAAACUUCAAACCCUUCGUUGUGAGUUUGAAAUUUUGUUCAUGAAAAGUAAUAAAUUGGUGCAAAAAUUAUUUUCUCAAGUGACUGAAAUUGUUAGUCAAAUGAAAUCUUACGGUGAGCAUCUUCCUGAUCAUAUAAUUAUUGUCAAAGUUUUAAGAAGUUUAACUCCGAAAUUUAAUCAUAUUGUUGCCACAAUUGAGGAGUCAAAAGAUUUAACUACAUUUUUAUUUGAUGAACAAAUGGGUUCCUUGUAAGCACAUGAAGCAAGGUUGAAUAUGUCACUUGAAAAAAGUGAAAAAAAAAAUAUUUCAAGGAGAGUCUUCUACUUCAAAAGAAGACAAAAAAUCAACAAGAAGAGAACGUGACAUAGGAGGAUUUUGUGGUAGAAGAAAUAGAAGAGAAAGAGGAAGAUGAUACUUUGAUGGAUAUGAUGAACAAAAAUAAUCAAAUUAUGAUAAAAAAAAUUAUAAUAGUGGAAUUCAAUGUCACUAUUGUAAAAAGUUUGGUCAACUGAUUGUUGGAAAAUAGAAAAGCAAACAAGCUAUGUGGAGGAAAAUGAAGAAAAUAGUAAGUUGUUUAUGACUCAUUCACAAGUUAAUGAUAUCUCAAAUGAUAUUUGGUUUUUGGAUAGUGGAUGUUCUAAUCAUAUGUCAAACAUAAAAUCAAUGUUUAAAGAUAUUGAUGAAACUCAUAAGUUGAAAGUUAGACUUCGAGAUAACAAGUAAAUCCAAAUGAAAGGAAAAUGAACAAUUGAGAUGAAACAAAUCAAGGGAAGGUAAAAUACCUUGAUAAUGUUUUCUUUGUUCAUAGUUUAUCGCAUAACUAGUUGAUUGUUGGCCAAUUGAUUGAUAUAUGAUAGAUAUUCAAUUAUUUUUUAUGAUAGUUCAUGCACUAUUAAAGAUAAAAAAUCUGGUUUGAUUACGAUAAAUGUUUGCAUGACACAAAACAAGAUGUUUCCACUUGAUAUUUCAAAUAUUGAAAAUCAUGUUCUUGUCGCAACUCAAAAGAACAAGUCUAAUUUAUGGUAUUUAAGAUAUGGACACCUUAACAUUAAGAGUUUAAGGUUAUUAAAUAAAAAAAAAUAAUUUUUAAAUUAUCCAAAAUUAAUACACUUGAUGUAUAUUAAUGAUGCAUUUAUGGCAAAUAAAAUAAAAAAUCAUUUCCUAUUAGAAAAGCAUAGAGAGCAUUUAAUUGUCUUGAAUUUAUUCAUGCUGACUUAUGUGGACCUAUGAAUACAAAAUCAUUUAGUGGAAGUCAAUAUUUUAUAUUGUUUACUGAUAAUUAUAGUUAUAUGAGUUAAGUAUAAUUUUUAGAGCUAAAAUAUAAAAUAUUUGAUAAUUUUAAAAAAUUCAAGGCACUUGUAGAACGGUAAAGUGGUAGAUGCAUAAAGACACUUCGGACAGAUAGAGAUGAUGAAUUUUUAUCUAAUGAGUUUAAUUCUUUUUGUGAAGAAAAUGAUAUUCAUAGAGAAUUGAUAGCACCAUAUACACCGCAGCAAAAUGGUGUAGCUAAACAUAAGAAUCGAACUGUCGUUGAAAUGACAAGAAGUUUGCUUAAAGGAAAAUACCUUCCAAAUCAGUUUUGGGUAGAAGCAGUUAUAACAGCAGUUUAUUUAUUGAAUAUUUCACCAACAAAGGUUGUUAUGAAUCAAACUCCUUUUGAGGCUUAGUAUGGUAUAAAACCAAGUGUAAGUCAUCUAAGAAUUAUUUGUUGUAAUGCUUAUGCUUUAGUGAAUUCACAAAAUCAUCACAAGCUUGAUGAAAAAUCUAAAAAAAUACAUCUUAAUUGGUUAUUCAUUACAAUCCAAAGCAUAUCAAUUAUAUAAUCCUAUUAGUGGCAAAGUUAUUAUUAACAUAAAUGUUAUGUUUGAUGAAAGAGCUAGUUGGAAUUGGGAGACCAAUGAAAGUGGAAAACAAAUUCAGAUUCCAACAGAAUUAGAUACUCUACAGAAUCAAGUGACAUAUCAUGUUCCAACAAGUUCAUUGUCAACCUCACCUAGUAGCAAUUCAAGUUUUAAUUCCUCAAAUGAAACCCCUCCAGGAAAAUUCAUAUCACUAACAGACAUUUAUAACUCAAUAUUUUCUUUGUUUAUUUCAGAUCUUAUAACUUUUGAUGAAGCAGUUGAAAAAGAGGGAUGACGAAAAACAUUGAAUGAGAAAAUCAAAUCAAUUGAGAAAAAUGAAACUUAAGAACUAAUGAAUCUACUAAAAGAAAAGAAAGCUAUUGGAUUAAAAUGGGUGUUCAAAACAAAGUUUAAUGCAGAUGGAAGUAUCCAAAUGCAUAAGGCUCGACUUGUAGUAAAAGGAUAUUCAUAAUAAUAAGGUAUUGAUUUUGAUGAUAUUUUUUCUCCAAUUGCUGGAUUUAAAACCAUGAGAACCUUUUUAGCUUUAACUGCUCACUUGAGUUGGCAUGUUUAUCAAUUUGAUGUGAAAUCUAUGUUUUAAAUAAAGAUUUAUGCGAAGAUAUUUUUGUUACUGUACUAUUUUUGGUUAAAGGACAUGAAGAAAAG